rnacentral:lncRNA from 1 species
UCUCUGAGUUAGAAUAAACUGUUAAGACUUAAAACUUACUCAUUUUACCUUUCACCAUGGGGCUUGUAACGUCACUUGUGUCUUGAGCAGUUAAAAGAUAGAACGGUCAAGUCAAGCACCAUGUAUCUUGUUCUUUGAUCAACUAUAGCUCUGGAGUUUUUGCAGAUUUUCAAAUAAAACUCAGAGAUUCCUUGUAUAAUUCUCUCAAGUCUCUCUUUUGUGGUAUUUCUGGAUCCUUACCAAGGCAGUAAUGGGAUAUGCCUUCUCUCACAGUAUGUGGUAUUUUUGGUAUGAGGCAUAGUGAUAUUGCCUUCUCUCUCACCCUACUCUAGUAAGGUUUUGAUAUCUGGAGCUCAUAGGUGGGAGACAGCUAAUACAUACUUACAAGACAUUUAUUGCAUAGUCAAACCAUGGAUACAGAGAAACAAGUCAAUAAGUCAAAUCAAGAUGUGCAUGUGUGGCGAGUGAAUGGUGUAUGGUGAUGAUGGAGAUAACAAUGGUGAAAGUCUAAUUCUACUUUUGCUCUUUUAAGGGGAUACAUACCUUUCUUGCACUUAGAAGCUUUUUGGGGAGAAUAGAUGCUCUAUAUUUUCUUUUUCUUACCUCUCAGGUGGGUAUCUUGUACACUUUUUCUUUUCUUCGAGGUUCCAGGCACUUGCCCCUUUUUAUUUCCGCGUAUAUUUUUUUUUCUCUCUUUUUUUUAGAGCACUCAUCUCCUGAAAUAAUGUAGCAAGUGGUAGUAACCAAAAUAACUGGAGCAUUUAUUUCACAAGGGGAAACAGAAAUAUUUUUGGUUAUUCUCUCCCGGAUUAGGAGUAGAAUACUUUUGGGUGGUUUUGGAGAUGGAAAUGAGUGGAUAUAUGUGGAUGGUACUUCCGGAGUAGAAGUAGCAUGUAAGAGUGAACGUGCAAGUGAAUCUUGAUUUAACCACAUGACAAGCUCCUAAGGGUCUACACAGCUUGACCACACUCAAUGCUCAUAAGCAGUAAAUAGUAAAUGUGUGGCUCAAGGUCUAGCAAGCAUGUAUAUAUGCUGUGGUAGGAAUUUAAACUCUCAUCAUACAGGAACUCAUCAUGCAACAUUUUAAAGAUUUUCAAAGAUAAAAUUCUCCAGAAUUCUAGCAUCUCUAGGAACAGAUAAACAGCAGCUCAACCUUCCCAUAUCGUAUCCGUUAACAACUUAGACUUCAGAUCAAGUUUUCAUCCCACAAAUUUAGGUCUAGAGCAAGCCUUAAAUUAUAACACUUAUAUCUAAACUUGAGAGAGAACUUCAAAUUUGCAAAUUAGGCAGAGUAACUAUUCAUCAUAUCCAUGCUUAAGUUUUAUUAGAUACCGAUUAGCAUAGCCACUUUAUUUAUUUAUUAAACACACUAAGCAAAAUAUAUAUAAGCAUAAAAUAUUUAUUUGGUUUUUUAUAGUUAUGUGUAUUUAUAUUCUAAAAUAAUAUAAGUAUGAAGAUAGAUAGAAAUACUUAUCGAGGUAAAUGGGGGUGCUCUCCCCCAAGCUGAAUUUUGACGUAAUUUCUCUUGAUGUAGCUAGCAGGUGGCAGAGGUGUAUUUGAAAGUCAGCAGCAUUCUGACAGCAAUUAGAAUGUCCUCCGUCUGCUAGUCUUCUUGAUUCUUAAAUUCUGUGGAGCUCAAAUAGACAACAAAGCUUGUGGAACUCUUGGCAAGGCGUUCGGUGUUUUUAAGUCCUCCGAAUGGGACUCCUUGUGUUUUCAGUCAUCCUGGGAUUAGCUAGGUGGCGUAGUCGGUGAUUCCGGUGGCGCCUCCUCUUUGUGUAUAACUAUGUUCUCUUUCCACACCUGACUCGGUGCUACGGUCUCCUCAGGACAGUUCUGUUCAAGUUGUAUGUCUUCAGUCCUUAUCACUUUUCCUUCGUAGUCUACCCGUCCGUCCUUGAUGAUUUGCCUCCUCUAGUUGCGGUUGCGUUGUCUUCUUCUUGUCCUGACCUGCUUAGAAUCUUCAACUAUAUAGUUAGGGUCAGUAAAAUAACGGCGUACCUUCUCUGAGGGGAAGUGCAUAUGGACUUCUCCGGUUCCAAUGUAGAUAAUUGCUUUAACGGUACUGAGGAACGGUCUUCCAAGGAUGGUGGAUGGAUCAUAUUCGUCUUCUCCCAUAUCAAUGACCUGAAAAUUGUCUGAAGCUGAAUGUAUCUUGGUUGUAGGGGCAUGGUUCCGUGCAGGAGGUGAUAAGUGACUGCGGCCAUUAUGUUGUCGUCAGAUCCGGUGUCGUAGAGUGUCUUCUGAAAAGAGUAUUCGUUGAUUGUGCACUUGAUGCUUGAAACACCAGGGUCGUUCUUCUUGAUCAAGAAAGGUCACUUGAGUCGACGAUCUUGACCUCCUUGAGCUGCAGUGACCAUCUCAGCUGACUCGGUCCACAUUUGCUUGUUCUUCUUCCUCCUGUUGGUCCUCUUCCUUGGUUCAUGUUAGGAUUGCUCUGAAGUUUGUGUAGUCUUGUUCUUGAAGGAAAGUCUCCUUCUUCCCCUUGAUGUAGAAACGGAUCUUGGCAGCAUUAGCGUAGAUGACAGCUCUGGUGUUUAGGAAUGGCCUCCCUAAGAUGAUGGGUGCUCUCUCAUCAUUUCCGGUCUCUACCACUACGAAGUCUGCUGGGGCAUACAAGGUACCAACUCGGACACAAAGGUUCUUCAAUAUUCCUUUUGGAAAAGUUAUCGCCUGAUCUCCAUUGUGUUUGUGCUUGUAGAUCCCGGUUCUUCACAUGAUGGAAUCUGGGAGUUGUAAAACGCCUUCACGUUUCUCAAAAUGUGUCCUGCUCAUAGAGACAAGGCAGAGAUCAAGUGCAUGGGCCCUGUUGGUGGAAAACACCAACAGAACCAAAAGUGUAUUUGUUCUUCUCUAACCUUAAGCAUAGUGAGCAAGACAAAGUUGAUGGAUCAUGAGUGUAGCAUUUAAAACAUUUGUUAGAUCAGAUGGCUCAACCUAAUGGAAAGAUAAUCUAUCUAUAUUUAUGUUUUGUUUAUAUCUUCCAAAGAUUGAAUGUGCAAUACUUUAGCUUAUAUGAUUAGGAGUGUGGGAUCACAAAGGUAGUACCAAGAACAAAGAUUAAAGGACUAAACAUGUUGAAUUAAUUGGGUUGAUUAAUUUGGAGCCACAAAUCAUACAUGUUUGUCUCUUUAUUUUAUGUGAACGCUAGAACCAAGGAGAAGUUUAUAAAAGUGAUAGUCAAGUACCUUAAAAUGUUACCUUACCUGAGGAGUGACGGUACAGUAUCACCUUGUGGAAGCUUUCCUUUCUUAGCGGUUGUGCAUCGUGUUUGUGGCACCCUCCAUAGAUCAUAUCUUUAUGAUGAAUGAGCUAUGUCCUUCUUGUGCAAAUUGUUAAACUUCAUGUGUCUCCUUUAUCUCCAAUGAGUUUGUAUCUCAGGACUUCCCAGGUUGAUAUUGAAAGUUUUCCUGCAGGGGUUAGUCCAACAAAAUAUACCAAUAUCUACUCAAGCAGUUUUUAGUUCAGUAACCAAACUAGACUCCAUGUCUAAUCAGAUUAAGGAAGGCUAUUUAACCUAAGCACCACGCUUAAUUUAAAUGCCAUUGGAAGUGUGUCUAGUACUUCCAAACUAACACUUACUAGGAUAAACAAAGGUAGCAUGAUGGCUUUUAUAGAGAUCUACUCAAGUGGAGAUGAAGUAGUGUGAUUAGUAUUUAACAAAUUGAGUAUGUCUCAAAGGUAAGGACAACCAACAUAGCAACAUGGCAAAGGAUGUUUUAUGUAAAGUACUCCCCCAAGCUUGAAUUUUGCAAAAUUCAAGAUUGGAUGAAUUUAAUUUAAUGUUGCAUGAUGAUUGGUUGGGCAUACCUUGCGCUUGUCAUUCAUCCGAUCUUCUUGCUCCAAUCCUAGAAAGGUUAGUGGCAAGAAUACCCGAAGGAAUAUUUCUACAAUUAUCUUUAUAUGCUCAAUACACAAGGCAAUGUUGCAAAUAAUUAGAAGUGCUUGUUUUAGGACACUAAGCUUGUCCUUGGGAAACCAUCAAUUAACUCAACGAGAUCUGCAAUAUUUAUUAUAGACAUAUGCAUCGACAACCGCUCUUUUAAAGUUUUUAUAAAUAGAAAAGAAGAGAGGGUUGGAGAUCUCAAAUGUGAUAAGGAUGGAGAGACUAAUUGAUUGGAGAGAUGUUUUAUAUGAGCAAGGACUGGGUAAGGUAUUUAUGAAAUAACUUCCAUGCUCACUGUUGUUUCUCUCAUUCUCAAACUCCAAGGAUGAUUCUUCAUGAAUGCUAAAAAUUCCUCUAGGAUUGUCUCUCAAGUUUGUUUUAUCUAUCCAUUCAAUGGUGAUAGCACAUGGAUUUUUAAUGCCCUCUAGCCAUUGAUGUUGCUCUUCUCGAUCCUCCUUCUUAUGCAUGGGAUGUCUAGAUAGAUUUAUAGGAUUAUCGGGAGGUUCAAGAGAAAGAGCAUAGUAGAAAUUGUUAAGCUCAAGGAUGGGUUGGAUAGCCGAAUCAUGGGAUUGGAAUGUUUGGAAAUCGGCUAUUGAAACUUCCUUUCCUUGUCUGGGAGAUGAUUCCUUCUCUAUCUCUAAGAUUUUUCUAUGAAGACUAGUGCAAGAAGGAUGUCCACAAAUGAAGACAUACCUUCCUUUACUAAUAGAUAAAGAAAGAAGGACUCCACCAAAGGUUAUAUGAUUAAGACCAAUGUGAAAAUAUCGAGAAAAAACAUGGUCUUGUAGGGCUAGGUCUAAACCAGAAUUUAUAGAAAGAUUAACAGAUUCCCUAGGUGUAGCUAAAAGGGCAUUAUCUUCUUGAUUAAAAGAUAGGACCUCGGCUAUAGAAAAGGGUUGGUUUUGACCUAUUGCAAUCAACUCCGGACACAGAUCAUAAUUAGGGGCAGGACGUGUUGACUCCCAUGGUCUAUGGCUGAUCUCCGAAGGUGCAAAGAAUUCAAUAAUAGGUAUGGAAUUUGAGUUAUCCAUAAAGAUAAAAAUAAAAAGAUAAAAGAAUAAAAGUAUAAAAGUAUAAUACAAGAUAAUAGCAAGACUCAAAGUUAUCUCAGCAAACCGUCUUUCUCCCAGGCAACGGCGCCAGAAAUGCUUGUUGAUAUUUGGUAACGCAAUUAUAAAAUGAUCCGCAAGCGCACGGAUAUCGGUGAGCAUUUCACCCGGGAGGUUAUCCAGAGUUAUCGUAUUUAUAUUUUUACCACUGGGAGAAAGGGUGCAUCUGACUAACCAAAUCUAUUGCUACUACCCCUUUAGGCUACAAAGAAUGUUUCUCGAUGUGAGUGAUGUAUAGAGAAGACUGCAACCGUAGUCUCAUUCUAACCUUGGUAAGGAUGAUCUACUGUUCUAUUGGGGAGGCUCACGGAAUCUAGACAACACAAAGGAUGUUCGACCCGCACCUAUAAACCUACCCGUCCUGCUAACGAGAUGUGAUCUACAAAGGUAACUCGGAAAUGUCACGUUCCUCGCUACUACCACGGUCCAGCUAGUCAGGGGAUAUCUAUGAGUACCCUAGCCUAAACACCACGUUUACGCUAACAAGUGAUUACUCUAAUACUCAACCGGAAGAGGAUUAAAGUAAACUCAUAAACCAAAGAACAAUAAAACAAGAACUUACUAGUAUUAGAAGUCGAAUUACUGAAGAAUCUUAGAAGCAAGCCUCGGGUUAGGAGACUUGAUCCCGUAGGUACAACUCGGAGUAGACACCGACAGGCCGGCCUUCCUCCGAUCCAUACCUCCACUCUAUCUCUCUCAAUCUAGUAGAAACUAGAAGAUUUAUUUCUACUUUACAUUGGUUGCUAAGCCUAAAAAGAAAUAUUAUUUAGAGAAGAGGUUUUCCUUCGAGGGCACCCCUCAAUCUCUAUGAUAAUUUCUUGUCUCCUCCAGGGGCCAGAGGGGGUCUCCUUAUAUAGUCCUCCCCUUCUAUGCAUUUUUGGGUCGAUAGGCGAGGUGGUACUAUGUUAUUCUGGAUCCAAUAGGUCGGUGGAACGUCGUGUGCGAAGAGAGUCCGGAACGGAGUCCAGAGGUGGGCGGGCGCCCAGGUCCUCAGGGCGGGCGCCCUGGGCCUGGCCCCUUUCGGGCUCUGCUUCCUUCCCGUGGCUUCUGGAGUCUUCUAGAUGGUAGAAAAUUGCACGGUGGGUUGAUAUCUCUAUGUAAUCCCGACAUGUGGGCCUUUCUUCCUUAUUUCCUGAUAACCCCCUGCAGAAAUAGACAAACACCAAAACUCGUAGAAUUCUGUCAGAUAAAACCCUAGGUCUAGGUGUUGGUUGCAUUUGGAUCCUUUUCUUUAUUUAUUUGAUGAUUAUAUUUGGUACUUAAGGACCGUCAACAACUCCCCCAAGCUUACCUCUUGCUCGUCCCUGAGCAAGGAUGGACUCAAGAGUUUCUGCAGUGGUUUUAUUUCUUAGAAGUACACACGCAUUUAAGCAAGAUCUCAUCUCUGAGUUAGAAUAAACUGUUAAGACUUAAAACUUACUCAUUUUACCUUUCACCAUGGGGCUUGUAACGUCACUUGUGUCUUGAGUAGUUAAAAGAUAGAACGGUCAAGUCAAGCACCAUGUAUCUUGUUCUUUGAUCAACUAUAGCUCUGGAGUUUUUGCAGAUUUUCAAAUAAAACUCAGAGAUUCCUUGUAUAAUUCUCUCUAGUCUCUCUUUUGUGGUAUUUCUGGAUCCUUACCAAGGCAGUAAUGGGAUAUGCCUUCUCUCACAGUAUGUGGUAUUUUUGGUAUGAGGCAUAGUGAUAUUGCCUUCUCUCUCACCCUACUCUAGUAAGGUUUUGAUAUCUGGAGCUCAUAGGUGGGAGACAGCUAAUACAUACUUACAAGACAUUUAUUGCAUAGUCAAACCAUGGAUCCAGAGAAACAAGUCAAUAAGUCAAAUCAAGAUGUGCAUGUGUGGCGAGUGAAUGGUGUAUGGCGAUGAUGGAGAUAACAAUGGUGAAAGACUAAUUCUACUUUUGCUCUUUUAAGGGGAUACAUACCUUUCUUGCACUUAGAAGCUUUUUGGGGAGAAUGAGAUGCUCUAUAUUUUCUUUUUCUUACCUCUCAGGUGGGUAUCUUGUACACUUUUUCUUUUCUUCAAGGUUCCAGGCACUUGCCCCUUUUUAUUUCCUCGUAUAUUUUUUUUCUCUCUUUUUUUUAGAGCACUCAUCUCCUGAAAUAAUGUAGCAAGUGGUAGUAACCAAAAUAACUCGAGCAUUUAUUUCACAAGGGGAAACAGAAAUAUUUUUGGUUAUUCUCUCCCGGAUUAGGAGUAGAAUACUUUUGGGUGGUUUUGGAGAUGGAAAUGAGUGGAUAUAUGUGGAUGGUACUUCCGGAGUAGAAGUAGCAUGUAAGAGUGAACGUGCAAGUGAAUCUUGAUUUAACCACAUGACAAGCUCCUAAGGGUCUACACAGCUUGACCACACUCAAUGCUCAUAAGCAGUAAAUAGUAAAUGUGUGGCUCAAGGUCUAGCAAGCAUGUAUAUAUGGCUGUGGUAGGAAUUUAAACUCUCAUCAUACAGGAACUCAUCAUGCAACAUUUUAAAGAUUUUCAAAGAUAAAAUUCUCCAGAAUUCUGGCAUCUCUAGGAACAGAUAAACAGCAGCUCAACCUUCCCAUAUCGUAUCCGUUAACAACUUAGACUUCAGAUCAAGUUUUCAUCCCACAAAUUUAGGUCUAGAGCAAGCCUUAAAUUAUAACAGUUAUAUCUAAACUUGAGAGAGAACUUCAAAUUUGCAAAUUAGGCAGAGUAACUAUUCAUCAUAUCCAUGCUUAAGUUUUAUUAGAUACCGAUUAGCAUAGCCACUUUAUUUAUUUAUUAAACACACUAAGCAAAAUAUAUAUAAGCAUAAAAUCUUUAUUUGGUUUUUUAUAGUUAUGUGUAUUUAUAUUCUAAAAUAAUAUAAGUAUGAAGAUAGAUAGAAAUACUUAUCGAGGUAAAUGGGGGUGCUCUCCUCCAAGCUAAAUUUUGACGUAAUUUCUCUUGAUGUAGCUAGCAAGUGGCAGAGGUGUAUUUGAAAGUCAGCAGCAUUCUGACAGCAAUUAGAAUGUCCUCCGUCUACUAGUCUUCUUGAUUCUUAAAUUCUGUGGAGCUCAAAUAGACAACAAAGCUUGUGGAACUCUUGGCAAGGCGUUCGGUGUUUUUAAGUCCUCCGAAUGGGACUCCUUGUGUUUUCAGUCGUCCUGGGAUUAGCUAGGUGGCGUAGUCGGUGAUUCCGGUGGCGCCUCCUCUUUGUGUAUAACUAUGUUCUCUUUCCACACCUGACUCGGUGCUACGGUCUCCUCAGGACAGUUCUGUUCAAGUUGUAUGUGUUCAGUCCUUAUCACUUUUCCUUCGUAGUCUACCCGUCCGUCCUUGAUGAUUUGCCUCCUCUGGUUGCGGUUGCGUUGUCUUCUUCUUGUCCUGACCUGCUUAGAAUCUUCAACUAUAUAGUUAGGGUUAGUAAAAUAAUGGCGUACCUUCUCUGAGGGGAAGUGCAUAUGGACUUCUCCGGUUCCAAUGUAGAUAAUUGCUUUAACGGUGCUGAGGAACGGUCUUCCAAGGAUGGUGGAUGGAUCAUAUUCGUCUUCUCCCAUAUCAAUGACCUGAAAAUUGUCUGAAGCUGAAUGUAUCUUGGUUGUAGGGGCAUGGUUCCGUGCAGGAGCUGAUAAGUGACUGCGGCCAUUAUGUUGUCGUCAGAUCCGGUGUCGUAGAGUGUCUUCUGAAAAGUGUAUUCGUUGAUUGUGCACUUGAUGCUUGAAACACCAGGGUCGUUCUUCUUGAUCAAGAAAGGUGACUUGAGUCGACGAUCUUGACCUCCUUGAGCUGCAGUGACCAUCUCAGCUGACUCGGUCCACAUUUGCUUGUUCUUCUUCCUCCUGUUGGUCCUCUUCCUUGGUUCAUGUCAGGAUUGCUCUGAAGUUUGUGUAGUCUUGUUCUUGAAGGAAAGUCUCCUUCUUCCCCUUGAUGUAGAAACGGAUCUUGGCAGCAUUAGCGUAGAUGACAGCUCUGGUGUUUAGGAAUGGCCUCCCUAAGAUGAUGGGUGCUCUCUCAUCAUUUCCGGUCUCUACCACUACGAAGUCUGCUGGGGCAUACAAGGUACCAACUCGGACACAAAGGUUCUUCAAUAUUCCUUUUGGAAAAGUUAUCGCCUGAUCUCCAUUGUGUUUGUGCUUGUAGAUCCCGGUUCUUCACAUGAUGGAAUCUGGGAGUUGUAAAACGCCUUCACGUUUCUCAAAAUGUGUCCUGCUCAUAGAGACAAGGCAGAGAUCAAGUGCAUGGGCCCUGUUGGUGGAAAACACCAACAGAACCAAAAGUGUAUUUGUUCUUCUUUAACCUUAAGCAUAGUGAGCACGACAAAGUUGAUGGAUCAUGAGUGUAGCAUUUAAAACAUUUGUUAGAUCAGAUGGCUCAACCUAAUGGAAAGAUAAUCUAUCUAUAUUUAUGUUUUGUUUAUAUCUUCCAAAGAUUGAAUGUGCAAUACUUUAGCUUAUAUGAUUAGGAGUGUGGGAUCACAAAGGUAGUACUAAGAACAAAGAUUAAAGGACUAAACAUGUUGAAUUAAUUGGGUUGAUUAAUUUGGAGCCACAAAUCAUACAUGUUUGUCUCUUUAUUUUAUGUGAACGCUAGAACCAAGGAGAAGUUUAUAAAAGUGAUAGUCAAGUACCUUAAAAUGUUACCUUACUUGAGGAGUGACGGUACAGUAUCACCUUGUGGAAGCUUUCCUUUCUUAGCGGUUGUGCAUCGUGUUUGUGGCACCCUCCAUAGAUCAUCUCUUUAUGAUGAAUGAGCUAUGUCCUUCUUGUGCAAAUUGUUAAACUUCAUGUGUCUCCUUUAUCUCCAAUGAGUUUGUAUCUCAGGACUUCCCAGGUUGAUAUUGAAAGUUUUCCUGCAGGGGUUAGUCCAACAAAAUAUACCAAUAUCUACUCAAGCAGUUUUUAGUUCAGUAACCAAACUAGACUCCAUGUCUAAUCAGAUUAAGGAAGGCUAUUUAACCUAAGCACCACGCUUAAUUUAAAUGCCAUUGGAAGUGUGUCCAGUACUUCCAAACUAACACUUACUAGGAUAAACAAAGGUAGCAUGAUGGCUUUUAUAGAGAUCUACUCAAGUGGAGAUGAAGUAGUGUGAUUAGUAUUUAACAAAUUGAGCAUGUCUCAAUGGUAAGGACAACCAACAUAGCAACAUGGCAAAGGAUGUUUUAUGUAAAGUACUCCCCCAAGCUUGAAUUUUGCAAAAUUCAAGAUUGGAUGAAUUUAAUUUAAUGUUGCAUGAUGAUUGGUUGGGCAUACCUUGCGCUUUUCAUUCAUCCGAUCUUCUUGCUCCAAUCCUAGAAAGGUUAGUGGCAAGAAUACCCGAAGGAAUAUUUCUACAAUUAUAUUUAUAUGCUCAAUACACAAGGCAAUGUUGCAAAUAAUUAGAAGUGCUUGUUUUAGGACACUAAGCUUGUCCUUGGGAAACCAUCAAUUAACUCAACGAGAUCUGCAAUAUUUAUUAUAGACAUAUGCAUCGACAACCGCUCUUUUAAAGUUUUUAUAAAUAGAAAAGAAGAGAGGGUUGGAGAUCUCAAAUGUGAUAAGGAUGGAGAGACUAAUUGAUUGGAGAGAUGUUUUAUAUGAGCAAGGACUGGGUAAGGUAUUUAUGAAAUAACUUCCAUGCUCACUGUUGUUUCUCUCAUUCUCAAACUCCAAGGAUGAUUCUUCAUGAAUGCUAAAAAUUCCUCUAGGAUUGUCUCUCAAGUUUGUUUUAUCUAUCCAUUCAAUGGUGAUAGCACAUGGAUUUUUAAUGCCCUCUAGCCAUUGAUGUUGCUCUUCUCGAUCCUCCUUCUUAUGCAUAGGAUGUCUAGAUAGAUUUAUAGGAUUAUCGGGAGGUUCAAGAGAAAGAGCAUAGUAGAAAUUGUUAAGCUCAAGGAUGGGUUGGAUAGCCGAAUCAUGGGAUUGGAAUGUUUGGAAAUCGGCUAUUGAAACUUCCUUUCCUUGUCUGGGAGAUGAUUCCUUCUCUAUCUCUAAGAUUUUUCUAUGAAGACUAGUGCAAGAAGGAUGUCCACAAAUGAAGACAUACCUUCCUUUACUAAUAGAUAAAGAAAGAAGGACUCUACCAACGGUUAUAUGAUUAAGACCAAUGUGAAAAUAUCGAGAAAAAACAUGGUCUUGUAGGGCUAGGUCUAAACCAGAAUUUAUAGAAAGAUUAACAGAUUCCCUAGGUGUAGCUAAAAGUGCAUUAUCUUCUUGAUUAAAAGAUAGGACCUCGGCUAUAGAAAAGGGUUGGUUUUGACCUAUUGCAAUCAACUCCGGACACAGAUCAUAAUUAGGGGCAGGACGUGUUGACUCCCAUGGUCUAUGGCUGAUCUCCGAAGGUGCAAAGAAUUCAAUAAUAGGUAUGGAAUUUGAGUUAUACUUAAUGUUACUCCUCCACACCACUUCAAAAAUUCUAAGAAGGCCUACAGACAGGGGUAAGUUAGGACUAAAGCACUUGGACUCAAAAUAGGCAAGUUUAUAUCAUUAAAUCCAAACGAUUUUGAAGUUUUCAAAGGAUACAACAGUCAUCUUAGCAACGAAUGCUCUGAUACCAGCUGUGGCAGAACCCCCUAAGUGUUUGGGCCCACCGGCACCUGUCAUUGUCCCAAAGACCUCUGACGGUGAUGCCGGGGAUCCUUCCACUUUAGAAGUCCGAUGAGCAUCUCAGGACGCUCAUUCCACCGCUACCUGGGGCGUAUCAAAUAGGCUCGUCCUAACCACCAGCGAUGGUAAAUUAAUGAAAAUUUCUUCUCCUCACCCUUACAUGAUAGCAAGUGGCCACCUUAACACCAGGAUCAUUCGUUGCGAAGACAUUGCAGUAUCACAGACGACAGAAGACCAAAAUAAUAUUUCAGAGUAAAACAGUGAAAGUAUUACAUAACUUAUUUUACAAAAGGAGUUCUUCCAAAUAGCAGAGUGUUAUUACAAACUAGGUCCAGCGGAGCAACUUAAACUUUAAUACACAGACUACAAAUUUACAGACCCUACCCAUGGGUCACGCUCACUCUUCUUCGUCGUCAAACUCGACGACGGUCACACAACAGGGUCCGAAACAAGUCGGCUCCUGAGCUUCACCUGCAACAGGGGUUAUGAAACCCUGAGUACGGGAGUACUCAACAAGACUUACCCGGUAGAAAAAGGGAAGAAAUUAGGAAUGCACGCUUAGGGUAGACAAGGAGUGGCUGAGCAAGGAGCCAAAGUGUUUUGCCAAAAAGCUUACUAAUAUUGCAUCCUUACUUUCAUGUUUUACCCGCGAAUUCCUCUCCUGAAGAGGCUGAGGAGUUCGAAGACAGUCUAUCUAGUUGCCUCCCACAGACAAGUCUGUGAGUUCCUAGUCCUAGAUUAAGGUAUUAUACAUCCAACGGCCAUAGCUUCAUGUCACUCUGAGUCCGGGAAUUGGGAUCCGAACCUCAUGAGACAUUUCCCCUUUCUUGUUUUAUCACUUAGUUGCAUAAUUAACUACGAUGAGGGUCGAAGGAAUUGAGUCUCCCAAUCGGGGAGCAACGACGAUUCGAAUCGCUUAGCAAUCCAGCUGGAGUUCCUAACCACCUGACAUAUGUAGAACUAAAUCUUGCAUAUGUCAACCCAAAGCAAGCUCUCCCCAAAUUUGACCAGGUUCGCGGCACCCGAGAGCAUAGUACUCCACCAUCCUACAGCCGAUCUACAUGUUUCCCAGUCAUCUCAGAUCCGUAAGGUGGGUACACACUACUCUCGCCAUCGCUCCACGCCCAGUGCGCGAGUAGCUGUUCGCGUCGAGGGAUUACAAGGUCGGGCUUACCGAGGGCAAGUGGCUAGUACUAUAAAUUCUCAACCCAGCAGGCCAUCAACGGACCGGUCCUUAACCGACACAGUUGGAGACACUACUUUAAGACUCCAUUCUUAAAUCAAGUCCACCGACCGGUCUCAAGUUGAAACAUCAUCGAUCAUAAGUGUAUUCCACAACAACCCUUCAAACUUUCUUGUUUCAAAACCUAUCUAGUAGCAGGGCUAAGCAUCACUACGCAGUUUUUAAAAUAAAACAGGUGCCAAGGACAAGAUAACAAAUAUCAAGGUAGUAAAUGCAGCAAGUAGGUUAACCCAAUUCUCUACUAUCCAAUGCAGCAUUUUCAAUUCAUAAGUGAUAAAAGAUUUAAAACAUUCAAGGAGGGGUUAAUGCAUCCGGGGCUUGCCUUGGUUGCAGGGCAGAGAGGGACCCUCAGAGACUUCCCAAGUCUCGGAUCCUACAUCCGCGAACGGAGCACCGACCUCGGGGUUCGGUUCAAUGGUCGCUCCUUCGGUCACGGACACUAAACGCAAAAAUGAUGAGUGCUCAUGAUAUGCGUAUGUCAAACAUGCAAGAAGGACCAAGUCGAGUACAACUUGCCUUCUCGCUGCAACAUAGAUUAAACAAUAAUUAAAGUUGUUUAAUCAUCCUAGAGUCGUUACCCAAGAGGUUGCAUCUGUAAAUUAAGGUUUCUCUUAAAUCAUAAUUAUCCUAAAUUAACCAAUUAUUAAUCCUUUUAUCUUAAUUAAUUCUUAAUUAACUAUUAAUGACAACAAUUAAGCAUUAAGACCAAACAAUAAUUAAAUGCCAAAGGUCAUUAGGGUUAAUGACCUCAGGUCAUCACAUAAUCCCAAAAUCACUCAAAUCCUAAUUUUGAGAAUUUAACUAAUUAUUAUCUAACUACUUUAGCAUUAUUAUUUAAUUAUUAAUUAAGGGUAUAAUAAUAUUUUAUUCAAACAUUAUCCAAAUGCCACCAAAUUUUGUGUGGAGCCAGGGAAUAAUAUUCAGAGGCAUCCCACAAAUUUUGGUGAUUUUUGGACAUAUUAAUAAAUUAUUAAAAUUCAUAGAAGUUGUAUUUACUAAUUAAAAGAGGCAAUUUUUAUACACAUGCAAACUACCCGAAAAUAAAACUUAACAUUUUUCCUGUGUUCUUCUUAUUCUAUGGAACCUAUACAAAAAGUUUCAUAAUUUUGGACCAGCACAUGAUUUAAUACACAAAAUCAAACAUAACUAAAAAACUCCACAAAAAGAAAAAGAAAAAAAGCACUAUGCAGCGAGUGGCUGGGAAAUUGGCCCGCAGGCCGACCCGCUCCCGCUCGGCCCACGCGGGCGCUGCGCGCGCGCCCCCCCCCCCUCACGCGGUCACUGACGGGCGGGUCCCGCCCGUCAGACCCUCCUUCCCCUUCUCUCUCUGCAGGACGCUGACGGGGAGACCCCACCCGUCAGUUCCUUCUCCUCCACGCGCGGCGGCGCUGUCAUGGCUCCGCCGCCGUUAGCGGGGCUCUCGGCCCACGCGCGUGUGCGCACCGGCCUCGCCUCACCUUCGCGAACCUCUUGCUACCACUCAAUCGUGCUCUACCUCCCGCUCUCUAUCUCAACCGCACAAAUGGCGGACGGCCGCGUCGGUCGCCCGAAGACCGGCCAUGAGGGCUCACUAGAGUACAAAUUGACGCGCUAGGGAGCUACCAUGGAGGGUAAGGAACUUGGCGCUCACGUCGCAGGACGCCAAGAGGUGGCCUAAGGCUCUGGCGGCGGUAGCGGGUCUCCUGGGUGGGCGCUCUGGCUCGGCGGAGCUGUUCCGGUGAACCUGUUCGCGUCCGAAGAAGAACAACAAGCGCAUGAGCAUCUGUUUGAGCAGGACAAGGCGUUCGCGAUCUUCGUCGAGCUUUGUUUUGAGCUCCCGUAGCUGCGCGAGUUGCGCGGCUCUGUCUUCCUGCGACGGGGGGUCGACUUGACCAUCGUUCCCUGGCGUCCUGGGGUCCUCCCUUGCUGCAGGGGCUCGACCACCGGCGACGGCAUCUCGUGUUUCAUCGGUAGUUUCCACCGCCCCGUCGAUGUGGAAGCAUUCCCUAGUAGGGUCGUAGCUGUCGGACUCUGAGUCGGAGUCCGGCUUAGCAGCGUAGAAGCAUCCCCGUCCUUCCUCCAGCAGUUGUUGCCUGAGCGAGGUGAUUGUGUAUCGCCCAGGUCCUAAACGGCUCGUACCUGAGAGAAAUCCGGUAAUUCGGACGCUUGUUGUCGUGCUUCUGCGUUGCGUGGGAGGACCAUUGGUCGCUCUACGUACGUCUGGGCGUUUGGACAUAUUGUCCUAGCAAGCCAUGCCGCGGCGUUGUCCAGGCCAAACGGCAGCGCUCUUCUCGGGGCGAACAACCCGUGCGGGAGUAGCAUCGUGGAGGACGAGGGCGCGCGAGACGUGCUGUCUCCCAACGUCGUCGCGCAAUCUUCGUGGCGUCGGGCCGUCAUACCCGCGGUUUCGACAUGCGGGGCUGUCGGCUCCUGCGUCACCCCUCGCCUAGCACGAACUGGCGAUCGUGAGGAGGCAGAGGAGUGGUAACGGUUCUGUCCACGCCUCUUCUUGGGCGAGGAGGCAUGGUGGCGAGGCCGUCUAGGAGCCCUCAAUCGUGCGGGCGUAAUGCGAGCUCCUCCCGGUCCUUUGACCGAGAGCAGGAUCAUGUCAUAGUCGAAACCGAUAGACAUGAACUCGAGGCUCCCGAACCAAAUCACCGUGGAGCGCAGAAUCGGCGAAACAAGAGUGGCCAUCUGGAAUGAAAUGGGAAAUCGAUGAAAAACACGCAGGACCCCUACCUGGCGCGCCAACUGUUGGUGUUUUCCCCCCGGGGGGUCACACCAACGAGUAAAACUAGUGUGUGCUCCCCUUUCCAGAUGGUGAUGCAAGGAAAGACACAAAGAUUUAUCCUGGUUCGGGGAAGAGAAGGCCCUACGUCCAGCGGGGGAGGAGAGUUUGUAUUAUCUUGCACCUAAGUGCUUGUACAGGGGUGAAUACAGGCGUGGAUGGAUGGAGAUGGAGUAUGAGUGCUCUACUACGUAUGUCUCUUGUGUUGUGUAUCCGUUCCUGGGCCUCCCCUUUUAUAGUUCCAAGGAGAGACCUAGGUUACAUGUAUAGGCGUCAGAGUAGGGGUCGAUAGGGGUAUGGCACACUGACCUACUCGAGGCCUCCGUACCGGCGUGGCCUCGAGCCGUCUUGUCUCAGUACCAUGAUGAUGAAUACGCGUGCCCCUGAAUCCUGCUCCUAUGCGCCGUCCUAGACCAGCUUAUCCGCUGCACACUUGUACGUCGCAACUACAGCCGCGUCAAAGUGGUUGAGGUGCCGUCCUCCGUUACCCGACCCUUCUUGAGGAAGGAACAUGCCUGCUCGAGGGAUAAACGUCACUUAAAGCCUUGCUGAGCGGAGUGUUGACUUUGGAUGUCUCGAGGGAGGUCCUGACGGGACGUUUCGACCACCUCGCUGCUUCCUGCCAUGCUCUGGCUCGUUUGGUGGGCAAGGCUGCAAAAAGAACGAUUGGACGGGUGCUGGUUCCCUAUCACGCUUCCCAUGACUAACGGGUUAGGUGAGAACGCGGCAGGCGCAUUAAAUGCCCCUGGUUCCCGUACCCGCGUCAGGCAGCGGGCGGCGUCCUUGCGCUUGAGACCUUUCGAUUCGUACGAGCCUAUUUCCGUAUUCGACGGUAGCCGGCGCUCGAGCCCUAGUUGAUUCGCACGACGCUCUUUCCGCGCUCGAGGCUAUGGGCAUCGAUAACUGUGCGUGCGACCGGGGGGCGUCGAGUCGGGGGCCGUUGAUUUGCGUACGAAUGCUCUCGUCAUGGGCGUCAGUUAGGGUACCCCUUACUGAUACCCUCGACACGUGUAUACAUAUUUGAUGUAUAUAUGGGCGUACUUCACAUGGGUAGUGUGCUGCGAUAUAUGUUCGGGAAUAUAUAUCAGAGUACCUGGCUUGGAAAUAGAGGAUCAGACUUUCAUUUCUGCACAUAUACUCUUGUGGGGUUGGGCUGAAAUGAAAUUUUCUGCAGGUACGCUAACAGCGAAACGUGUAGACCGUGUAGUUACAUAUAAAGAGAGCAUGUAUGUAUGCCACCGACUAUACCGCUUGAAUUUUCUUUCCUAGGAAUGGUAAGGACGUAUGAAACGUGCAUGCAUCAUGAAUCAUUCAUGCAUCCCUUGUGCACUACUUAAAUUCUUGGAAUUCUGAAACUUGUACCUAAUAAGUAAUUUUUCCUUACUCAAUUGUGGUCUUUUUUGGACAUGUUUGGCAGCCCACGUGCAAGUGAAACUUUUUUGGACAUGUUUGGCACUCCUACUUUGUUGUGGAGAGUGCUAAGUUCAGUAGGAUAUGAGGAACCACUCCAGUAUACUUGGAGAGAGGAUGAGCAUGCAUGAUCUUUGCCUUAGGUAGAUGUCCAAAUUACAGUUCCUCCUUGUCAAAAUAACCCACGGUGGCUAGGAUGGAUAGUGGAGUUCGAUGGUCAAACUCCAUGGGAGGGUGCCCAAGUAGCAGCCCUAGAAGUGCUGUUGGAAAUAUGCCAGGACCUUGGUGAUGAGCUAAUUAAUGGCCCAGCUCGAUCUUUUCCUAGAGUGAGUGUAAGUGACACCUUUGUAUCCCAGAUAGGAACUGAGCGCCUGGAGAUGACAGAAACCAUGUUAGGGUAUAGCUCUAGCCCCGCCAUGAGUGCCAUGUUGGCGGUACUCAAGCUGUACUAUGUACGUCAAGACACCUAUGUAGAAGCCAUGCUAGCGCUGUAGCAAGCUCAAAUUGGGCAGCGCAAACUGUGCAAGUGCGUGCGCAAGCACCGCAAAGCCUUUAGUGAUGCACAAGCUGAAAUUCAAAAACUAUCAUACCGCUUUACAAGCCCGCCGCAACCAAGUUGAAAAUGAAGUUACAGAGCGCAAUGAGGCACAAGACCACGUGAUGCAAAUGACUAGGGAGCGAGAUGAUGCUAUGCGCUUGGCUGGAAAUAGAGAAGCUGCUAGAGUUAGAGCUUUGUUCCAAGCUGAGGUUAGAGAGCAAGAGUUGAUCCAAAGGAUUGCUGAGCUGUAGUUAAACGUCCAUCACCUAAACAAUGUCAUCAAUCCUAUUCCACACCCUGUCCCCAUUAAUCAUGAAGUGUACCCCAGUGAGGAAGAUCAAGAUGAUGGCAUAGUCUCGAAUGAAGAAUCUGAGGAAGAUCUGUAGUUUAGCAGUGGUUUCUGUGUUUAUGUACUAGCUCCUGUCUCUUUAUGUAAUGGACAUGUAAUCUGAAUUUCCAGUUGAGACUCUAUGUAUUUGGCCAUGAUGCCUUCUUGUAAGUCUUAAUCUGUGACAAUGAGCCUAUGUUACCAUAUGCACUUGUAUGUGAUGCUCCAUGUUUAUGCUGAGCUUGAAUAAAUUCCCAGUGAUGCCUUUAAUCCCUCAGAAUUCUUGUGGCUGUGAAUGAUUACAAGUGUAACCAAUAUCGUGGAUGAUGUUCACUUGUUGUAAAUGGAUUAUUGUGCCUUGUAUUAUGUGAAUUUAUUUCAGUAAAUUCCGUAUGGCAUCAAUUGAGAUUUUUGGCAACUAUUUCUGUCAUCCUAAACGAUCACUUGCUGUGCCUUGUGCAGAUGGCUCGCAAUACUCGCUCCGGCCACAAUGAGGUGCCACCACCACCUCCUCCCCCACCUAUGCCUACGGAGCUCCUGGCUACUCUUGUUGAGGGCCAGCAGAUGCUCACUGAAGCUAUGCAAACCAUGGCGCAGCAGAACCGGGGUGGUCGCCAUGCCUGCCAAGGUGGAGAAGCGAAUCAGUAUAGUAAUUUCAAGGAUUUUCAGGACACCAAGCCACCGAUUUUUAAGGAGGCCUCUGAACCUCUGGAAGCCGAUGAAUGGCUCAACAGUCUCGAGCAGAAGUUCCGCUUGCUCAGGGUGACUGAGGAGCUGAAGGCGGAGUAUGCAACACACCAAUUGGAAGGCGAAGCAGGUGAUUGGUGGUGUAACACCCGGCCCAGGGCUUAAUAGGAUUAAUAGGAGACUCAUACAAACAAGUUGCAACUUUAUUUCCGGGAGCCUAUCUCAAAAGAACUCUAAAGUUAAGCGUGCUUGGCCUAGAGCAAUUUAGGGAUGGGUGACCGACCGGGAAGUAGUUCCCGGGUGCGCACGAGUGAGGACAAAGUGUGCAGAAAAGACUAGUGUUGGUCUGUGGGGGCUGACUAUAUCCUAGAAAAGCUGCCAGAUGUAAGCGGGCCCGGCCUCGUGGAGGCAGGACGUUACAGAAUGGUAUCAGAGCCGACUCUCGCGGUUUCAUGGGCGCGUGUGUCGCAGUUGCGCAGGCAUGAUGUGCAUGGCUGGUGUGGAUCCGGAGUGGUCACACAGCAUGGCAUAUGCGCUGGCACUGGAUGCACGGACGUGGCCAAGAGGGGACGUUCCUGGCUUGGGGUUGAUCGACGAGGACGUCGAUCUCUUAAGGGGGUGAGGAUGUAACACCCGGCCCAGGGCUUAAUGGGAUUAAUAGGAGACUCAUACCAACAAGUUGCAACUUCUUUUCCGGGAGCCUAUCUCAAAAGAACUCUAAACUUAAGCGUGCUUGGCCUAGAGCAAUUUAGGGAUGGGUGACCGACCGGGAAGUAGUUCCCGGGUGCGCACGAGUGAGGACAAAGUGUGCAGAAAAGACUAGUGUUGGUCUGUGGGGGCUGACUAUGUCCUAGAAAAGCUGCCAUAUGUAAGCGGGCCCGGCCUCGUGGAGGCGGGACGUUACAGGUGGAGCCAUUAUAGGGCCAGCUUGCCUGUCAAUGCUGUUGUAACCUGGGACCAGUUCAAAACUGCUUUCAGGGACACUUAUAUUCCAUAGGGCUUAAUGACCAUCUAGCAUACCGAAUUCAUGAACCUAACUCAGGGCACCAAAAGUUUGACUGAGUACCUUCAUGCUUUCAAUAAUUUGUUUCACUAUGCUACUGAGUUUGUUGACACCGAUGCUAAGAAGCUUGCUAGUUUCAAGAGAGGACAUGGGCCCAAGCUGUCCAAGAAUAUGGCUGGUAACAAGAGUACCACCUUCAAUGAGUUUGUGAGUGAUGCUCUGACUCAGUAGAACUCCAAUGCUAUCUAUGCUGCAUCUAAGAACCGCAAGAGGGCCUAUGAAGCAGGUGCUUCACAGUCCAAGGCUCCGGUGACAAGUAAGCCGGCUAUCGCCCACCAAAUGUUGUAACAAGGUAUAGGCCACCACAAAAGAAGUCAAAUGUGAAGACGGGAGUUCGCAAGUCCUUCACAGUUGCCCUUCCCAGAGGUGCCACAGGUCUAGGGAGCUCCAAAACUCCCCGUGAUAAUCGUCCCUGCUUCAACUUCAGACAGGUUGGUCAUUGGGCUAAGGAUUGCCCUUAUCCUAAGAAGAUUUCUGCAGUUGGGGUUAAUACUCGUACCGGCCGGGUGCACUAUACCACCGUUGAAGAAAACCCCACAGGUGAAGUGGUUACUGCUGGUAUCUUUCUUGUCAACCAACAUCCCGCAGUUGUGUUGUUUGAUUCCAAAGCUUCGCAUUCUUUUAUGAGUCAAGCAUUCGCAUCUAAACAUGGGCAACAUGUAGUUGAUCUUGACAUUGCAUUAGUGCUCCUGGUAAUCAAAUCUCUACGAAUCAGUUAGUUAGGGAUGUGCAUAUCACCAUUGAAGGGCGUAAUUAUUCAGCAAAUCAGGUAAUCUUGCCGGGCUUGGGAAUAGAUGUUAUUCUGGGAAUGAAUUGGAUGAGUGACCAUGGGGUUUUGAUAGAUACCUCAACCAGGGUAGUCAUGUUGAGGGAACCUGAUAGUAGAGAAGCUUUCUUAGUCGAACUUCCCAAAAAUGACGACAUCCGUCAUGCUGCCAAUGCUAUCAGACCACUCACUGUGGCAGAGGUUCCUGUAGUUUGUGCGUUCCCAUAUGUCUUUCUAGAGGAUCUGCUCGGGUUGCCUUCAGACAGAGAUGUAGAGUUUAAAAUUGAUCUAAUUUCCAGUACCGCACCUAUUUCUAGAAGGCCAUAUCGAAUGCCACCCAAUGAACUAGUAGAGUUGAAGAAGCAAUUGCAAGAACUCCUAGAGAAAGGUCUUAUUCGGCCUAGUUCUUCUCCAUGGGGUUGCCUAGCUCUGUUUGUCAAGAAGAAGGACAAGUCUCUCCGUAUGUGUGUGGACUAUCGCCCGCUAAACACCGUGACAACAUGUUGGACCUAUCCUAGAGGAAGGUUUCAAUUUAUUGCACCCAGUGUUCCUGCACAAUAUUGUAGUCUGUUGUUCCUUAGAAAGUCAAAUUAUAGAACUCCAAAAGACUAAACCUGGUAUCUUCCAUAUCAAUAGAAAAAUGAAAGAGCAAGACACCAAGCAUUUCUGGGUGGAUGAGAAGGGUGUACUAUGGUUUGAUGAUCGACUUGUAGUACCCAAAGACCGUGACCUACGCUAUAAAAUCUUAGAUGAAGCUCACUCCUCUAAACUGUCUAUCCAUCCUGGUAGUAGCAAAAUUGUUGGUGCAAAAGUAGAUCUGCAAACACAAAGGGCUAAUACCUGAUUCAACGUUAAGGCGUGCCAGCCGAUUUUACCUUUCAAUCGACAAAGGUGAUAACUCGAAUACUUUGGUCCCGACAACAGCGAUGCACCCAGAUGUCACGGCCAAGAGGUAUUCACACGAAACUCAAGAACUCAUCAAGAUUGACUCGAUGAAUUCCUAAGAACUCGUAAGUAAAGGAAAAUAUGCGAGUUGACGAACUCGUCGAAAAAGUAGAUGCUGCAAUAGAUUUAAAAACUUGUGUUUGAUUGAUUGUGUAUGUCCAUUACAUUGCCACAAGGUCUAUAUUUAUACCCUGUUCAGAAAAGUUACAAUCAGACACGACUAGGAGUCGAAUUCCAAAUUGAACGGAAUCCACAUGCAAAACAAACUCUAACAACUAUGGAAAACAUUAAUUUAUCCACCACAACCGAUCAGCAUAUCAUCACUAUCAUCGUUACCAAUCCUACACUUUCCUUUGCUUAUCAUCGGCAAAUCACCUUUUGUUGGCAUCGGCAAUCACCUGCAUCAAUCAUCAACAUAGAUCGACCACCACCCUUAGAUUUGGCUACAUCCUGCUGGUUUCUCCAUCGGCAUCAAUCCCAUCGGCAACUCCUUUGACAACCGUCACCACUCUUUUAUCUGCCGAUCUAUAUUUCAUUAACUCCCAGAUACGCGUCCAAAGAUACGUGUCCAAAAACGGCGUCAACACAUGCCCCCAAUUUCGGAGUAUAAAAUCAUUGAUGCUCCGAAAUUAUCUCCACUAAAUAUGCUCUUUUCGCAAAUAUUUCCCCCUGAUGGUCAUUAGUUGCCAAAUCCAAACAACUUCAGUCCGGUUCUCUAGCAUAUACCUGGAAUCUCUCAACUUCUCAAACCGAAUCUCCUAACUAUAUGUUCAACGGCAAUAUUUCCGUUAGAGAGAAACUACCGAUGAGCCGAUUAUGAGAUCUCGCACAGUAAAAUAUCUUCAAAAUCAUGACCGCUUAGUGUCAAAUCACCUGCACAAUCCCUUGAUUACCGUGCGAACAGUUACCAUAUCCACCAGAACACCCUCGGAUUUCACGGAUACGGUAAAGAGAUAAGUCAAAAAUGCCCCUGCUCACUUUACCCUAUAAAUAUUGCCUUAUUCGGCACUCUUCCUCCACCUUGUCAUUCUCCAUUCACCAAACCCAUCUUCCUGGCGGCGGCACUGUUUGAGGAGCCCAAGAACUCCAACGAGCACUAGCAGUUCUGGAAUCCAUCGAUCCUCUCCUUCCCCGGCAAGAAAAUGGCCAUCAACUUCACUGUCCCUGAGGUCAACUCUCUUCACCUCCCCUUUUUUCUUGUCGUACUUCUAUUUUCUGCAAAUCUAUUAUUGAGUACGUUUUUUCUCUUCUUUGUUUUUUUCUGUUCUUUCAACCUGCAAACCUUUAAGGAGUUGACUGAUAAAAUUGUGAUUCCCACCGAUCAACCCCAUUUCAAUGCCUUGGUCCAUUGGGAAAUCCAGAUCCUACCGAUUUGAUAAAUGCAGAAACAAAUAGGAUCCCCUUUAGAGCCGAGAACUUUUCAUUAGAUCUAUGGAAAGACACCUUUCGAUCCUAGCCCAGUUCUACCAAGGGGUGGAGAGAUUGGUUCCUAAGAAUCGGCAACUCAAAAGAAGUCCAAUGGGAUGAGCGUAAACUAGAUCAGAGCAUUAUGCUAUCUAUUGCCGAUAUGGAGAGAAACGAAUCACUAUUGAUAGCAGCUUCGUAUUUCUGGUCAGACACCCUCAAUGCUUUCGUGUUUGGCCAUGGCCCUGCCUCUCCUACCCUUGCCGAUGUACUUAUGCUUACUGGUCUGGAAAUAGCAACUGCCGAUGAUAGCCACCUGUUCGACAGUAAGCCCGAACGUAAAGUGGAAACUCGCAACAUCGGUGGCUGGUCAGGGUACAUUCAGAAGUAUCAGAAAAUAGGACCAGUUGGGCCAAGGGAACACGCCAUCUUUCUGAACAUGUGGCUAGAUAAAUUUGUAUUUUGCGGCCGAUCGGUAGGACCAACUUCUGUUUAUCUAUCGAUAGCAGAGAAACUAGCCAACGGUGGUCGCUUCCCCCUUGGCCGAUACUUGUUAGGCUCUGUUUAUCAUCUCCUUCAUCAAGUAGUCGAGAAGCUUCUGUUAGGGCAACUGAAAGCCCUAGUUUGGUUUUGGAUAAUUGAUGAAACCCUAGUACUAACCUCUAUACUAAGUAUGUGUAGACUUAAUGAGGUUGGUACAUGCCAAGUGAUGAAGCAAGUGAUGAUCAUGGUGAUGAAGGUGAUGAUCACAAGAUGAUCAAGUGCUCAACUCGGAAAAGAAGAAAGAGAAAAACAAAACCCUAUGGAGAUCUAGGCAAAGGUAUUGCUUAGGGUUUUAGUUUUGGUGAUCAAGACACCAUAGAGGGUGUGAUCACAUUUAGGAUAGAUAGCCGUACUAUAAAGAGGGGAAUUCUUUGGCUAAACGGUUAUCAAGUGCCACUAGGUGUCAUUGUUCAUGUGCAUGCAUUUAGAACCUAGUGAGCUAACUUAACUUCUUCGAAGAAAAUGAUUGUGAAAAUGCUAACACACGUGCACUUGUUGGUACACACGUUGUGGUGUUGGCACACUUUGAGAAGGAGGUGGAGUUUGAAGAGUAGAGAGAGGAUGGGUUAGCAUUUUCAAGAAAAUGAAGUGCAUAUUUUCUAUUGCACCGGUGGGAAAUUUGGAGAAGUCGCGGGAGUGUUUCUCGCUGAGAAAACACUCACCGGACGCUAGCUUCUGGAGCACCGGACGCUGAGUCUGAGCGUCCGGUGCAAACAGUGCCUGGCCCAGCUAGGGUAAGGCACCGGACGAUAAGCACCGGACGCUGGCUUGAGCGUCCGGUGGUUAGCGUCCGGUGUGCGGGCGUUUUGCGACCCUCUCUGCGCAUGGGUCCGGUGAGCACCGGACGCUAAGGGUGCGUCCGGUGACCCUGCAAGUUUGCGGAGCUCUCUGCGCAUGAGUCCGGUGUGCAUCGGACGCGUCCGGUGCAAACUUGCUCAAGCGUCCGGUGCUCUGCAGGUUACCGUUAGACUCUGACACGCGGCUGACGUUGGAGCACCGGACGCUGGUGUUGAGUGUCCGGUGACCCUUUAAGAGCGUCCGGUGACACCGUAUUUCACCCAGUGAAAGAGCCAACGGCUCCAUUUGUUUGAGGGGCUAUAAAUACGUGUUUGGCCGGCUUGGGGCUUACACUCUUGGCAUUCUAGCAUACUUGACAUCCUUGUGAGCCUAAGCAAACACCUCCCACUCAUCUCCUUCAUAGAUUAAACAUCUUUGUGAGAUUGGGAGUGAUUCCAAGUGCAUUUGCUUGAGUGAUUGCAUCUAGUGGCACUUGGGGAUCGAUUUGGCUGCGGUUUUCUUGUUACUCUUGGUGGUUGCCACCACCUAGACGGCUUGGAGCAGCGGAGGAGGAUUGGCACGAGUUGGUGAUUGUUCGUGGCCAUCUCCCGGUGAUUGUGAGGGGUCUUGUACCUUCCCCGGCGGAGAGCCAAAAGGUAACUCUAGUGGAUUGCUCGUGUCAUUGAGUUACCUCACUUGUGGGUCGGUUCUUGUGGUGUCCUAGUGAGGACGAGGUUCGUGCUACACCUCUUAGCCACCGAACCACCAAGUGUUGGUCGACACAACGGGGCCGUAGCGUGCCGGCAAGCACGUGAACCUCGGGAGAAAAAUUGGUGUCUCAAUUGUGUUUGAUUGGCAUUCUCCCGGUGCUUGAUUGUUUAUAUUGGUGAUUGGUUCACCCUCUACGCGGCGGUAUAAAGUUCAAACCAUCUCUUUUACAUUCCCGCAAACUAGAGUAGCUUACUUACUUGUAUAGAAACUUUAGGUAGCUUUCUAGUGUAAAGUAGUGACAUAGCUCUUGUGUGCCUAGUGAUUAUAUCAACUAGAAUUGUUGGAUAGGUGGCUUGCAAACACCCCAUUAGAGCUAGAGCAAAAAGCUUCGCUUUGUUAUUUACUAACCUCUUGCUCUAGUGAGUUUGUAGAUUUUUAAAUAGGCUAUUCACCCCCCCUCUAGCCAUAUUAGGACCUUUCAGCAACCCAUCGGCAACUUAGGAGGACCUUGGUGGUUCAUCAACAUGUUGCUCAGUGUUCACAUGCACAAACGCCUUGGAUUUGACCUCUUCGCACAACGCUUUCCCAGAGAUAUCGCCGAAGACCAUGAAUUGGCUGAUGAAGAAUCGGCAACUCACCCACCCUUAAACUAUGGUGAGGCUGCUAUAGCGCUACUUGGUACUGGUGGCAAUGAAGACCAGGUCAGCCGAUUCUUCCAAACUCUAUAUGAGGGUAUUUCCAAAGAUCAGCGGGCAUGGAUGCCUUAUCAAGAUCCAAAAACCAGAUUCCAGCUCACUUUCCACCCUUUCAAUGACGCUCUCAACAAGGACAAUGACCUGAUGAUGGCAUUCAUCACUCCAAGGGCCAUACCGGUUAUUAUUUUUGGUAGUGGGAAGACCUCCAACCCCACUUAUGAAUUUUAUAACCCAUCAGCACUGGCUCGUCAACUGGCUUUUGGACAGCUGCCGACUGGACUCUAUUAUGCCGAUGUAGUGAAGCCAAUGAAGACUAUAACCAGCAGACUUGAGUGGAUAAGAAUAGCUCAGCUUCAGCCAAAUGCCGAUACAUCAGACAUUGAUUUAUCGGCAUGGAUCCCAGUCCUCUUCAUCACUCAGGCAUACAAGCAGUGGUGGGAAGAGUGGAAAGAACAUCUGUUCUACACAUCGGCUCUGACAUACCAUGGCAUGAUCGACCCCAAGUAUAAGGUCCCCGAUAACCCUGUAAGUCAUCAACCGAUAUCUCAGUUCUUUUGUUACUUCUAACUUUAUCGGUAAUUUUACUCUCUCUUUUCUAAACAGGUCGAUAACCUGCCACCUGUCACAGAACCGACCAAAUUAUAAGAGUUCAACUGUAGAAACGAUCGACUAGCAAUCAAGUUUCCAAACUUGAGCUCAUAUAAUCCCGGUAGUCAACUGAAAUCACGAAGGACUUCAAACCAACUUGCAACAAACCAAGAUCGUAAUAGUUCAACAUAACACAACGAAUGUUACAUAGUCAUUCAUUGUCGUCAAAGCGUCACCACAUCGGUGUUACUCAGUUAUUACAACACAUGUUUGUAGAAGCAGAAUCAAAAUAGUUUACAACUCACAUUCCAAAGUUCAUUUCACAAGUUCCUGUUACUGCCAGAGUCUUAGGCCAUCCAUCCAAAAGCAGCAAAUAUGAAAUUGUUAGAGAACCGUGCCCAACGGUCUAGUCCUCAUCCCCAGCGGGAUGGAGACAGGUCUUGCAGAAGCAAUCAUAAAAGAUAUCAUCUGCAACAGGUGGGAAUAAACCCUGAGUACGAGGAUGUACUUAGCUAGACUUACCCGUCUAGUAAAACAUAAAAGACACCAAGGAUCAUGCAAGUCUAAGUAUAAAGUGUAGCGGGCUUGACUCAACAUUUGCCAAAAGCUUAAGUAAGGACUACACCAUUUGUAAAGGCAUCAUUUUAAGUAUCAUUAGCUUACCACUAGAUUAGGACCUGUGCUAAAGCACUUCACUUUGAUUAAUACAAACAAUAAUAACCAUAUCAAGUUCAUCAUAUGCUCUUUCUUGCUAUCAUCAUUAUCACGAACCAUUGUCCUUUAGUGAAAGCUACGUUUGCAACUGCUCUAUCAAGUUCUCACUAUCCGGGAGAGACGGCGAUUCGAAUCGAUUCCUAUCCAGCUGGAGGGUUAUUCCUAGCACUCACCCAAGCAUCCCCCGUCAGAGAGCCAGCGGGUCACCUUUGGUACGACUCAGGAAUCGCGGCACCGAUCAGCGCCGCACUCCCAGGGCUACCACUCUGCCAGGGAGGUCAGGUCUUUUAACUCACCUGCCUUUGGUCUUACGCCUAUGGUCCCCCACACACCACACUUCCUCCGGUAGUGCGCACUUUAUACUUGCCAGUCUUCCGGCCUGAGUAAUACUACUAGGCUUCGCAGUCGGAACGAGUUAUCCGGCCAACCAAGUGUCAGGCAUGCGUUCAACAUGACAAGAGGACGUACAACGAUUGGUCCUUAGCUGCCACAGUAGGAGUUACUACAACCUUGCAAAACACUGCCCGGCUUAAGUCAUUUUAAUCAAGUUCUUUCCAUGAUAGCACAUAUAGACAAUCGUGAUCCGACACAACCCUAUCUCGCGCAGGUGACAGGAUAUCCCCCGACUUCUACCGAUUAACCAUGACUAAGCCACUACUCGAUCCUAACUCUAUAACCAGGUAGUGGUAAGAUAUCUGGACAAGGAAUGAGUAUAAUGCAGCAAGGGUUUCAUCACAACUCCUAUACAUAAUGCAUCAAUAGAUAUAACAUGAUCAAGUAAGCUUUCGAAAUUAAAAUGGGAGACUUAAUAUGCUCCGGGGCUUGCCUUUCACGAACGAUGCAGGCUCGUGAUUCGGGCACUCAAUCUCCUCUUCGGGCUCCUCGUGUCCGGCUUGCUGGACCUCCACGUCCGGGUUGAUCUCUUGGCCCUCGGGGUUCACCUGGAGCUCGAACGUAGCGGUCGUUUCCGGUGCACCUAUUGCAUGCACGAAGAAUAAGAAUGUGUGCAUACUAAAGGAUGAAUGCUUGACAACAUAAUUAGGACUUCACUGGACACUCAUUUACGGAGAAAUUCUCAUUACAAGAUCACACAAGAUGACAAAUUAGUUUAGUAAGGCUUACCAAGUCAAAUAUAAACAGCAAGCAUCACUUAACAGAAUAGCUCAGUAAACAGAUCAUAACAUUUGCUAUACAGAUCCCACAAACAUGAAUGAGGACUGUCUACAUUUCAUCUUUAAACAUCACAGCAAGAUUCAUAAGUUAAAUAAGUCAAUUAAACAAAGUUUCAGGUUCUGUCCCAGAAAAAUAGAGAACACCUAUUUCUGGAACCCAACUUGGAAAGGCCAUAACUUCCAAACUACUGGACCAAAAGAUCCCAAAAUUAAACCACAGCUAGUUCAUAAAGUUUACAACAACUUUGAUUUAUACAAGUUUUCCAGAAAACCAAGUUAUCAUCAGGCAAAGGUUAGAUUACUCCCUUGCUGCCCAGAACAGCUUUUAACCCUUUAAUUAAUUAUUUGAUGACAUAACCAAAACAUAUUUAGUGGCAACCAAAUGGCUUAUAAACAUUAGCAUACCAUAAGAUUACCAGAACAACAUAUGUUAACCCCAAAUUAUUUAAUAACAAGGCAUUUAUUAAUUUAGUUCUAUAAAUGGACAUAAUUACAAGAUACUAGCAAAAGUGCUCAGAAAAAUCUACAAAAUUUAUACAAACACCAGCAUAGCAUCUUGACAUCACAGUAAAAUUUUCAGAGCAAUUGCACAUGCCAAUUUAAGAUAAGCAUUUAACCAUGUGACAAGUUUCAUAAAUUAAGAAACAUAGCUUAAACAGUGUCAAACUACAGAUUUCAGAUUAUUUACAUGUGACUAUUACCAUAAACAAGUUUGACACCAGAGUAGAGCACCAGCAUAAGCACCAAUUAUUUAUUAUGAUUUAAGUAAGAAAACAAGCCAUAUCACAAACAUAAAUUACACAUCACAGAUAUAGUACUCCAAAAAUCAUGAAAUAUUUAUCAUAGCAUUCUCAUACCGCUCAGAGCCUAGCAUAAAAUUUUCAUAACAAAAGGAGCAGUAUAUCAAGAGAUAUAAAUUUACACAUGAAUAAAAAGAUUAAAUCCUAAUAAUUAUUUAUCCCAGAUAACAUGGUACAUUUUAUAUUUUUAUUAAAAACUAGCCAUCUCAAGGAACAUCACAAAAUUUAUCUCACAAUUUUUGGAUCUUAGAAACUGGAGAUAUGAUUUUUGCAAGAAUGCCAAAAACCUGAAUUUGAAUAAAAGAAAAGGAGGGAAACGAUGUGUCACUGACAGCGGGUCCCGCGUGUCAGGGUCGUCUUCCUCACGACCGAGAUGACAUUCACCGGCGAUUUCUCCGCGACGGCGAGGUCUCCGGCCAAACCAAGGGCAUCAACGUGAGCCCCAGACCUUUGCGAACCGAGUGACCCCCUUUUCCCCACGGCGGAGCCACCGGAAAUGGCUUGCCGACGACCAUGGCGGCUCAGCGGAGGUGCUUGGCAUUACGCCGGAGCUCUCGGGCCGGUAGAGCGCGACCUAGGGUUUCCUACAGCACCAGCGGGCUAUGGUGAAGCUUUCUAGGUGGGUGACUAGGCUUGAAACGGUAUGGAAUGAGCUGGCCACGAGAGAGCCGAACUCCGGCGGAAACACGGCGGCGCUGCGCGUCGCGUCCGGCGACGGUGAGUGCGGUAGAGCGUCCAUCAAGUGGUGCAAACGUUCGCUAAGGACCUAAGCCACCUCUGGGACCUAACCAGAGAAGACGAGAGGCUCCGAGGAGCUCAGCAUUGAGUUCGCCGGAGAAGAAGGUCACGGCGACCCGAUUUGGGGGAAGUCAGAAAUGUCGACUCACCGGAGGGUUUCACGGCGAGUUUGUGGGUCGAGGAUGGAGAGCGGGUCACGGCAGAGCUGUGCGCAAGUUUUGGUGGGCAGCAACGCAGCGAAGAGCGAGUUCGAGCUCACCGGAGUGAGCUCGCGACGGUGAGCUCGCUGCGGCCGCUUUUCUGGCGAGAGUGCGAGAGGGAGGAGAGAAUGGACGCGUCCACUGCGUUCGGGGCGUCGCCGUGGAGGUAAGGCACAUGCUGGGAGCUGACGAGCAGGGCCAGGAACAACGUACGGGCGCCAAAUGUCACUGAAGCUUUGUCGCCGGUCGGCCACGUCGACGAGCUCGGCUCUGAUUCAGACAUGGCGAUGAUCGUCUGAUAGAGCGACUUUGACGGCGAUUAUCUCCCAAACCGAAGCGAAUUAGGAGAUGGUGUAGUUGACAAAGUUGGAGUACUUGCUGAGUUCUACAACAUUGUCAACUAGAGUAGGAGCCAGAUCGGCUUGGAUUGAGAGAUAUAAAGCUCCCAAAAUCGAUUGAGCAAACUGGUGGCGCCAGGACUUGAAAGCACUUUUUGAGCAAGAUGUGUUCAUUUUCAUGAGAUGGCCAUAACAUAACUUUUUUCCUUAUAAAAUUGGCUACAACUUUGCUGUAUAAAGUUUUGACAUGCAAACAUUUUAUGAAACACUUUUUAAAAGCCUAUCAAAUGAGGUUUCUAGGGCUUAUACAUGGAAGUAUGACUUAAGCACCUAAUUUGGAGAAGUGAUCAACAUGAACAUUGUUCCUAAGGUUGAGUUAAUCAUAAAUAAACUAAUUACCAAGGGUUAGCACACAAGCAUGAGCAUGGCACAAACAAACACAAGCAUAGGAAGCAUAAUUAAACAAGUCAAAGCACACUUUAGCAUAAAAUGACAUGGCUCAAGGUAGAUGAUGAUCAUGAUAUGCUUGAGUAGAUGAUGAUGCUUAUGUUAUGCAUGUGAAUGAUGCAGCCAUAACACUGGGGUGUUACACGACCGACAGUCAGCAGAAGUGGAAGACCGAUUGAACUCCUCCCGUCAGGUCCAAUCUCUCUGAUCGGUAACAACGCACCAAGUCUGGCAGCACUAAUGCAUCGGAAUGUGUGUUUUAAGAAGAUAACCACCAAGCGGUCAAAGACAUCCCCAAUGGUUGCCGCUGCUACCUUGGCAUAGGCUUUCAAGGUAGACUUUUGAUUUCCUUUGCUUGUACCGAUUCUAUUCCAUACUCACACAAUCUUUUCAGGAUACAUCGGCUGCUAUGGGAACUUCAUCGGAAACUUUUAUUUUUUAAACAAGAUUUCAUCAACAUUCUUUCAUAUCCCUUCUGAUGAUAUCUUGGUUGUUGUAACAGCAAACCGGCAAAUCGGCAAAGACUAGAAGCACCCAGACAAGUGCUGAUGCCCCCAGCCCAGCCAAGUCAAAAGGAAAGGUCCUAAAAGCAACAAGUCACAACCAAAGCGCCAGAGGACAGCACCAUCUUCUCCUCCUCGUCCAGUGUCGCCGAUUCAUGUGGAAUCAUCCCCAUCUUCACCAGAAAUCUAGACACAACAAGCACCAUCCCCUCCUCAACCAGCACCUCAGCCACAAGAAGCACCAGCCGAUGUACCGGAGCAGACUGCCGAUCCAGCGAAUAUGAUCAUAUCAUCGGUUAUUCCUUCAGGACAAACAAGCACCGCACCCCCUCAAGGUAAAGUACUGAUCAUAAAAUUAUCACCAAUGGAUAUAUUAUUUUCCUUUUAAAUUAUAAUUGCCCAUGUUCUUUCUCAAUCGACAUUGUUCCAUCGGCAACUCCAGCCGAUCAACCUACAGUACCGGCCGCAUCCCCUCGCCAAAGGCACGAAAUUGCUCUGAAGCAAGUAAGUCUCUGAUUUUCACUCUUUAUUUUCAACAUUUGAUUAUCAGAUAACUUAUCUCAACCCCUUUUUCAGGAACAAGACUCCCCAGACAGCUUAUUCUCCUUUGCUAUCGACAUCUCCGAUGACGAGAGCGAAGAAGCAAGCUCUUCUCAAGCAGUGAGGAUCUCAUCGGCAGAAAUCAAAGCUAAACUGGAAGACCUGCUGGUUCUGCUGCAUCAAGAUACCGCUCAAUUGGUCGAUGACUCUGACCCAGCCAAAGCCUUGUUUAAGACCCUUUGAGGCCAGAUCCCAGCCGAUGCAGAAGAAGUCUUGUUUCAAGCUGCACACUUGGAAAGCCGCCAGCUCCAGUACCAGAAGGCUACCCAGCUUCUCGCUGAUAGAACUGCUCAUGCCCAACUCACAGAGGAAGUAACGCAAGUGAAGCGUCUUGCCGAUGAGAAACAUAAAAGCAUCAGCAUUCUGCAGUCCUCAGGGGAAACACUGAAGCAGAAGAUCUCCGACCUAUCGGCAAGAAGGGAAGCCCUGCUGGCUGAGCUCAAACAAGUGGAAGAGGCCCUGUCUCAAGCUCAGCAAGAAGAAUGCCAGCUGCCUGAGAUGAUCAAGACUCUUCAGCAAGAACGAAACAUCCAGGCUCGGAAGGCACUGCAAAUGAAAAAGAAGCUGUAGCCAGUAGAGGGUUCUGCCGAUGAGGACAUCCGGGAGAUAGAAGAGGCCGACCAAAUUCGCCUGCGCGCCGUAUCGACCAUUUAAGACCUGCUGAAUCUGUGAACACUUCAUCGGCAACUUGUUUCGCUCUGCCCUUAGAAUACUUUCGAUCAUUCUGGUCAAGCCGAUAGGACUAUUAUUGGCCCUUUUAAAAACAUUAUGCAAGCCCCACAGAUACAUUUCAUCCAGCCAAAUUCUUUUAUGCAUCAACCCAAAUUAUUGGGUAAUACUUCUUUAGAUAUUUUCCACUCAAUGCUCUAGGAAAUUCAACUCCUUUGAGAGUUUCCAAAAUAUAAGCAUUACCACGAGCAAACCGAUUUAUCCGAUAAGGACCUUCCCAAUUAGGAGACCAUUUUCCAAACUUUGAACUUUUAGUCCCAAUCGGUAAAAUUAAUUUCCAUACCAAAUUUCCAUCGGUAAACUCUUUAGCUUUUACCUUUUUAUCAUACCAUCUAGCAACUCUAUUUUUAUUUUCCUCUACACUUAUUAAAGCUCUCAACCAAUGCUCUGCUAAAUCAUCCAACUCAUCUUUCAUCAAAGUAGCAUAGUCAUCGGCAGCCAAUUGAUCUUGAAAAGAGACCUGCCUAGAUCCAGUCUUAAUUUCCCAUGGUAGCACCGCAUCAUGUCCAUAUACUAAUUGAUAAGGUGAAACUUUGGUCGAUUCAUGACAUGCCAUCCGAUAUGACGACAAAGCUUCAUUCAACAAUGUAUGCCACCUUCUAGGAUUUUCUUUAAUCUUCCACUUGAUGAGCAUAAUAAUCCCUUUGUUAGAUGCUUUGGCUUGUCCAUUGGCUUGAGCAUAGUAAGUGUUGGUGCAAAAACCUGAUCUGCAAACACAAAGGGCUAAUACCCGAUUCAAACGUUAAGGCGUGCCAGCCGAUUUGACCUUAUAAUCCACAAAGGUGGUAACUCGAACACUUUGGUCCCGACAACAGCGAUGCGCCGGAUGUCACAGCCAAGAGGUAUUCACGCGGAACUUGAGAACACGCCGAGUUUGACUCGACGAAUUCCUAAGAACUCGUAGUAAAAGAGAAAAUAUGACGAAGUCGUCGAAAAGUAGAUGCUGGAAUAUGAGUAAAAACUUAUGUUUGAUUGAUUGAUAGAUGUCUCAUUACAUUGCACUAGGGUCUACAUUUAUACCCUGUCCAAAGAGCUACAACCAGACACGACUAGGACUCAAAUUCCAAAUUAAUCGGAAACCGUAUACAAAACGAACUCUAAUAACUAAGGAAAACAUUAAACUACCCCCGUAACCGAUCGGGACACCAUGAUGAAUCAAAUGGCAACUUCCGCGCUUCUCUUCAGAGUCAUCGGCAGAUUACCCAUCCACAGUCAUCGGCAAACACUGGCAUUGGUCAUCGGCAUGAAUACGCCACCCCUUCUGGACUUGGCCAUAUCCGAUUGUUUCCCAUCGGCAGCCACCUUUAUCGGCAACUUCCCCAUAGACUGGUCACCACUGCUCCAUCUGCCGAUCUACAUCUCAUUAGGUCUAAAUGCGUAUCAAAAGAUACGUGCGCAAAAAUGGUGUCAACACAUGCCCCCCAAUUUCGGAGUAUAAAAUCAUUAAUGCUCCGAAAUUCUCUGCAGUAAUGACACGUUUCGCAAUUAUUUCUCCUAAUUUGGUAAUCUGUCGCCAAAUCUAAUGUAACACCCCAGUGUUAUGGUUGCAUAAAUCACAUGCAUAACAUGAGCAUCAUUAGUUACUCAAGCAUAUCAUGAUCUUCAUCUACCUCGAGUCAUGUCAUUCUAUGCAAAAAUGUGAUUUAAGUUGUCUAAAUAGGCUUCCUAGGCUUGUGUUGGUGCAUACCAUGCUUGUGUUUGUGCUCUAUGCCUUGGUAAUUAGUUUAUCUAUGCUUAACUCAAUAUUAGGAUCAAUGUUCAUGUUGAUCACUUCUCCAAAAUAAUCACUUAAGUCAUACUUACUUUAAUAGGCCCUAGAAACCUCUUUUGUUUAGGCUUUUAAAAAGUGUUUCAUAAAAUCUUUGCAUGUCAAAACUUUCUACAAAACAGUUGUAGCAAAUUUUAUAAGGAACAAAAGUUGUUUUAUGGCCAUCUCAUGAAAAUGAACACAACUAGCUCAAAAGUGACCCACAAGGCAGAUUUGGGGCUGUUUCCAACACUUAGAAAUAUUUUCUAAGUCCGGGAACACAAACAGUUUGCUCGAUCGAUUUUGAAAACUUCAUACCUCUCAAUCCAGGCCGAUUUAGCUUUUGCUCCAGUUGACAAUGUUGUAGAACUCAGCGAGUACUCCAACUUUGUCAACUACAUCAUCUCCUAACUCGCUCUGAUUUGGGAGUUAAUCGUUGUCAAAGUAGCUCUGUCAGUCGGCCAUCGUUUUAACUGAAUCGAGGCCGAGCUCGUCGACGUGGCCGACCGGCGGCAGAGCUCCAUCGACAUUUGGCGUCCGUACGUCGCUCCUGGCCCCGCUUGUCAGCUCCCAGCGCCCGCAUGACCUCCACGGCGACACCCCGGGCGAAGUGGACGCGUCCAUUUCCUUCUGCUUCGCCCUCUCUCGCCAGAAAUGCGGCCGCAGCGAGCUCACUGUCGCGAGCUCACUCCGGCGAGCUCGUACGCGCUCCUAGCUGCGCUGCUGACCACCAAACUUCGCCCACAGCUCCGUCGUGAACCACUCUCCACCCUCCACCCGCUAACUCGCCGUGAAACCCGCCGGUGAGCCGCCAUUUUCUUUUUCCCCCAAAUCGGGUCGCCGUGACCUUCUUCUCCGGCGAACUCAAUGCCGAGCUCCUCGGAGCCUCUCGUCUUCUCUGGUUAGGUCGUAGAGGUAGCUUAGGUCCUUAACGAGCAUUUGCACCACUUGGUGGAUGCUCUACCGCGCUCACCGUCGCCGGACACAACGCGCAGCGCCGCCGUGUUUCCGCCGGAGUUGGGGUCUCUCGUGGCCAGCGCGUUCCACGCCGUUUCAAGCCAAGUCGCCGACCUAGGAAGCUUCGCCGUUGUCCACUGGUGCUGUAGGAAACCAUAGGUCACGCUCUACCGGCCUGAGAGCUCCGGCGUAACGCCGAGCACCUCCGCCGAGCCGCCAUGAUCGACGGCGAGCCCCUUCCGGUGGCUCCGCCGUGGGGAAAAGGGGGUCAAUCGAGUCGCAAGGGUCUGGGGAUCACGUUGGUGCCCUUGGUUUGGCCGAAGACCUCGCCGUAGCAGAGAAAUCGCCAGCGAGAGUCGCCUCGGCUGUGAGGAAGAAGAACCUGUCGCGUGGGCUCCGCUGUCAGUGACACUCGUUUCCCUCCUUUUCUUUUAUUCAAAUCCAGAUUUUUGGCUUUCUUGCAAAAAUCAUAUCUUCUAUUUCUGAGAUCCAAAAAUUGUGAAACCAAUUUUGUGAGAUUCUCUGAGAUGGCUAUUGUUUUGAAAAAAUAUAAAAUGAACCAUGUUUUCUCGGAAAAAUAAUUAUUAGGAUUUAAUCUUGUUAUUCAUGAGUAAAUCCAUAUCUUUUGUUAUACUGCUCCUUUUGCUAUGAAAUUUUUAUGGUAGUCUCUGUGUGGUACUAGAAUGCGAUGAUAAAUAUUUCAUGAUUUUUGGAGUAACAUAUCUGUGAUAUGUAAUUUAUGUUAGUUCUAUGGCUUGUUUUAUUUUAAAUCACAAUAAUUAAUUGGUGAUUAUGCUGAUGCUCUACUUUGGUGGCAAACUUGUUUGUGGUAUUGGUAACAUGUAAAUAAUCUGAAAUCUGUUGUUUGACACUUUAUAAGCCAUGUUCCUUAAUUUAUGAAAUAUGUACCUUGUCACUUGUUAAAUGCUUAUAUAAAAAUUGGCAUGUGCAAUUGCUCUGAAAAUUUUAUGGUGAUGUUAUGAUGCUAUGCUUGUACUUCUGUAAUUUUUGUAGAUUUUUGUGAGCACUUUUAUCAGUAUCUUGUAAUUAUGCCCCUUUAUAGAAUUAAAUUAAUAAAUGCCUUGUUAAUAAAUGUUUAGAAGUUAUCAUAUGAUGUUCUGGUUGUCUAAUGAUGUGUUUGUGUUGAUAAGCCAUGUGGUUGACAUUGUUUAUGCUUUGGCUAUGUCAUCAAAUAAUUAAUUAAAGGGUUAAGAGCUGCUCUGGGCAGCAAGGAAGCAAUUCAAUCUUUGCUUAUUAAAAACUUGGAUUUCUGGAAGGCUUGUCUAAAUCAAAGUUGUUGUAAACUUUAUGAAUUAGCUGAGGUUUAAAUUUGGGAUCAUUUGGUCCAGUAGUUUGAAAGUUAUGGUUGUUCCAAGUUGGAUUCCAGAAAUAGGUGCUUUCUGUUUUUCUCCGACAGAACCUGGAACUUUGUUUAAAUGACUUGUUUAACCUAUGAAUCUUGCUAUGAUGUUUAAAGAUGAUUUGUAGGCAAUUUCAUAAGCUUUCCAGAAUGUCCUCACUUAUGUUUGUUGGAUCGUUUUAGCAAUAGUUAUGACCUGUUUACUCAGCUGUUCUUUAGGUAAUGCUUGCUGUUUAUAGGUUAUCUUGGUAGGUUUUGGCUAAGUUAACUUACCAUCUUGUAUGAACUUGUCAUAACCGUUACUCCGUAAAUGAGUGUCCAGUGAGUUUAAUUAUGUGUCAAGCAUUCAUCCUUUAGUAUGCACACUUUCUUAUUCAUCGAGCAUGCAAUAGGUGCACCGGACGCGACCGCCUCCUACGAGCUUCAAGUGAACCCCGAAGGUCAGGAGGGCAACCCGGAGACGGAGGUCCAGAAAGCCGGACUCGAGGAGCCCGAAGAGGAAGUUGAGUGCCCGAAUCAUGAACCAGCCUAGUUUGUGAGAGGCAAGCCCCGGAGCAUCCUAAGUCUCCCCUUUAUUUUCAAAAGUUUACUUGAAUAUGUUAUAUCUAUUGAUGCAUUUAAGUAUAGGAGUUGUGAUGAAACCUUUGCUGCAUUUUACUCAUUCCUUGUCCAGAUAUCUUACCUUUACCUGGUUAUAGAGUUAGGAUCGAGUAGCAGCUUAGCCAUGCUUUAAUCGGUAGAAGUCGGGUGAUAUCCUGUCACCUGCGCGAGAUAGGGUUAUGUCGGAUCACGAUGGACUAUAUGUGCUAUCGUGGAUGGAACCUGAUUAAAUUGACUUAAGCCGGGCGGAGUUUUGCAAGGUUGUAGUAACUCCAUCUGUGGCAGCUAAGGACCGACCGUUGUACAUCCUCUUGUCAUGUUGAACGCAUGCCUAACACUUAGUUGGCCGGAUACUCGUUCCGACCGCGAAGCCUAGUAAUAUGACUCAGGCCGGAAGACCGGCAAGUAUAAAGUGCGCACUACCGGAGGAAGUGCGGUGUGCGAGGGACCAUUGGCGUAAGUCCAAAGGUAGGUGAGUUAAAAUUCCUGACCUCCCUGGCAGAAUGGUAGCCCUGGGAGUGCGGCGCUGAUCGGAGCCGCGAUUCCUGAGUCGUACCAAAUGUGACCCGUUGGCUCUCCGACGGGGGAUGCUUGGGUGAGUGCUAGGAAUACCCCUCCAGCUGGAUAGGAAUUCGAUUCGAAUCGCCGUCUCUCCCAGUUAGUGAGAACUUGACAGAGCAGCGGCAAACGUAGCAUUCACUAAUGAACUUGGUUCGUGAUAAUGAUGAUAGCAAGGAAGAACAUAUGAAGAAUUUGAUAUGGUUAUUAUUGCUUGUAAUAAUCAAGUGAAGUGCUUUAGUAAAGGUGCUAAUCUAGUGGUAGGCUGAUGAUGAUUAAUAUGAUGCUCUCACCACUUUGUAGUUAUAAUUUAAGCUUUUGGCAACUGUUGAGUCAACCAGCUCCAAUUGAUAUUAGCCUUGCAUGAUCCUUGGUGUCUUUUAUGUUUUACUAGACGGGUAAGUCUAGCUGAGUACAAUCUCGUACUCAGGGUUUAUUCCCACUUGUUGCAGAUGAUAUCUUUUAUGAUGGCUUCUGCAAGACCUAUCUCCAUCCCGCUGGGGAUGAGGACCAACCAUUGGGCACGGUUCUCUAACUACUUUGUAUCUGUUGCUUUUGGAUGGAUGGCAUAAGACCCUGGCUGAACAAGAAAUUGUGAAAUGAACUUUGGAAAGUGUGUGUAAUUAUUUUGCUUCCGCUAAUUCGAACAUGUGUUGUAAUAACUUAAUAACUCCAAUGUGGUGCCGCUUCGUCGGCAAUGAAUGACUAUGUAACAUUCGCUGUGUUGUGUUGAACUAUUACGAUCUUGGUUUGUUGCAAGUUGGUUUGAAGUCCUUCGCGAUUUCAGUUGACUACCGGGAUUAUAUGGGCUCAAGUUUGGAAACUUGAUUGCUUGUCGAUCGUUUCUACACUUGAACUCUUAUAAUUUGUUCGGUUCUGUGACAGCUGGCAUCGGAGCAAGUUCAGCAUUAUAAAUGCAAUGUUUGUGUAUUUAAAAACAAAAGAGUUUUUAAAUAAAAUUUUGAAAAUCAACACUUAAUCAUGCCAGUGGUCGAAUCCUCCUUGCCCAUAUAAGGACUAUAGGUGGCUAUUUAAGUACUGACUUGGGGGGUUUUAUUUAUGCAUCUCCGGCAGUACUCAGGUAUGGAUGUGUGAUGACUACACUAUGCUACCCUGUGGUCUAAUGGUAGAGGUAGCCUUCAUAUGUGAACUAGCCACAUAUGUCGCUAGAUUUAAAUUCUGCAACGUCGCACCUACGCUCUGGUAAGUGUGAGCUGUGAGAGCAUGAUCGUCCAAAUGGCGGUCCAGGGGAGUGUUCGCGGUGGUUUUCUGGAGCGGUUACAUGUCAAAACCAUGGAACCACGAAAGAAACUUAAUUGGGGAGCAUUUAAUUUCUCGGGUAGCUGUGGUGUCAUUGUUUAUGCAUGUUGGGCAUGUCCAAGCAAUGUGCACUUAGUUUACUGCUUUCUUGAGUGAUAUAUUGGGAACUGUUGGGCUGCAAUGAAGUUUUCUGCAGGUACUCUAACAGCGCAUGAGUAAUUCGCUAGAUAUCGUAUUGAGAGACGAAUGUAUGCCACCGUAUAUCCGUUAGAAUAUUAAUUUUCUAAGUUUGUGAGGAGGUACAGUUCGUGCAUGCAUCAUGUCGCAUUCAUACAUACAUUCUAACUACUCCUUCCCUUACCAUGUCAUCCCUUUUAAUUAAAUAAAUGUUGCUUAAAAUUAAUCUCCUCUUACCCAUGGUAUUCCUAUUUCUUUCCACAGAUGGACGUGGCUGCUUCACCUCACCCCAGUGACACCUUUCUGAGCGAGUUUGGCACUCCUACCUUGCUCUGGAGGGUGCUACAGUCUGUGGGAUAUACUGAGCCACCUCAGUAUUCUUGGUGGGAGGUGGAUAUGACAGGAGAGUUGCAGUGGUUUGCUGUGCAGGGAGUUGUCCCUCCACAUGGGGGCAGGCCUGCAUGGACAGGGUGGACCUGUAACUCAGAUGGGCAGACUCCUUGGGAAGCAGCUCAAGUUGCAGCCCAGGCUAUGCUGCUCAAUAUCUGUCAGAGGUUUGGUGAUGAGCUGACCAGAGGACCAGUGGCCUCCAUUCCACGUGCUAACCCAGCAGCAGCGGAGUGGAAGCAGGCUGAUGGUUGUGCGUUGGUCCGAGGCAGGGUAGAGCGAGCUGAGAGUUCUAGUCCUGCUAUGAGUGCUAUGAUGGCUGUGCUCAAGCCGUUCAGUCAACGAGAGGACACUUAUGCACAGGUGAUGGUGGCUGUUCGCCAGGCUCAGGAGAUGCAACAAAAGGCGGAAAAGUGUGCUCGCAAGUUUCGCAAGCAAGCUAGGCUCCUGGAGCAAGCUCAGAAGGACCGCAAUGACUGGGAAGGUAUUGCGGAGUACCGUAGGCUGCAGUGGGUGAAGGCUAUUAGGGAGAGAGAUCAUAAGCAGGAUCAGAUGAGUCAGUUGGCUAGAGAGAGGGAGACAGUGCAGGAGCGCUUGGUGCAGGUCACUCGUGAGAGGGAUACUGCACUCCGUGUGUUAGAGAACUGGCGCCGGGCUUGGGAGAUGCACUGGAUUCAGUCGCUUGAGAGGGAGAACUAUCUGUCGGAUCAGAUUGAGGCUGGUCUUGUGGAGAUUCACCGUCUCAACAACUUGCUACACCCUAUUCCUCGCCCUGUGCCCGUGUAUCCAGAGGUGGGACCUCAGGUGAUUGUGGCCGAUGAUGAUGGUAUGGAGGUAGAUGGACCAGCAGUAGCUGCACCACCCUUGCACGAGGACAUGGAGGGCGAGGAGCUUGAGCUAGUUAGCAAUGAGGAUGGAGAGGCGAUCUUCGACGCUGACUCGGACGAUGAGCCUGGAGUGUAGUGAGUUGUGGGUAGUUGUUAUGUGAGGAUCUUUUGGUAGUAUGACAAGUCAGUAGUGGUGCUUUUGUAAUCAUGAUGUAAUCCGGAACCUUGAUCUUGCCUUAUGUCAUGUACUAUGAUGGUGUAAUAACUUUAUGGACCCAAUGUGUAACCUUAACAUGUUCGAUCUGUUAUGACGAUGUUUUCUGUUGUGGUGAAUAUUGCGGAUAUCUCUGUCAAGUGUUGGAUUGGUGAUGUUGUUUUGUGGAAUUGAAUUAUUGUGCCUUUUUCUAUAAAGCUAUUCUCUCGAAUACUUUCAGGCAUAAAUAUAAGCUCUUCUACGGCAAAUCUAGUCAUCAUCAAUGCUCACUGACUGUAUCUUUACAGAUGUCUCGUGGCACUCAAGGUGCGAAGAUGAACCCAUCCCCUCCUCCUCCACCACCAAAUCCAGCUGGGCUGAUGCAAAUGAUGGUGGAAAACCAGAGCAUGCUCACUGAGACCAUCAAUCAGAUGGCAAAUCAGGGUGGUCGUAAUGCACAAGAAGGGCCAGCACCUAACCAGUACAGUAGCUUCAAGGACUUCAUGGAUACAAAGCCCCCACCUUUCAAAGAGGCUGAAGAACCCCUUCAAGGUGAGGAAUGGCUGAAUACGGUGGAACAAAAGUUCCUCCUGCUUCGGUUGACUGAGGGUUUGAAGGCCGAGUAUGCAGCUCACCAACUGCAGGGACCAGCAGGUAUCUGGUGGAAUCAGUAUCGGGAAGCUCUUCCAGCCGACACUGUGCUUGACUGGAAUCUCUUCCGUGAAGCUUUCAAGGGGCAUUUCAUUCCUCCUGGUGUCAUGGAAAUGAAGCAUACCGAGUUUAUGCAGUUGACUCAAGGCAACAAAACUCUGAAGGAGUACUUGCAUGCUUUCAAUCAUCUGUCAAGGUAUGCUCCUGAGUUUGUGAACACUGAGACAAAGAAGAUUGCCAGUUUCAAGCGGGGUUUGGGCCCCAAGUUGCUGAAAACCAUGGGCCGCACUAAGUGUGCAACUUUCAAUGAGUUUGUCAGUGAUGCUCUUACCCAAGAGAACUACAACACUGUGUACACUGCGACCAAGACUCGCAAGAGGGCUUUUGAGGCCGGGGCAAGGGCAUCCCAAUCCAAGGCUCCAGUGGCAGCUAGGCCACCGAUCUGUGCUCCAACUCCUAACCAGUGGUAUCGCCCGCCUGUGAAGAAGAAUUAGGCGAAGACGGGUUUCCGCAAGGGUUACUCCAUUGCUCUUCCUAGGGGCAACAUGGGUCCCAGCUAUGCCAAGACUCCACCUGCCAACCGUCUGUGCUGGAACUGCAAUCAGACCGGGCACUGGCAGAGCAAUUGUCCUUACCCUCCGAACAAGGGCAACCAAGGGAACGUCCGCCAGGGGCGUGUUCACUACACAACUGUGGAGGCGAUCCCUGCUGGUGAGGUAGUUACAGCUGGUAAGUUUCUGGUUAACCAAUGUGAUGCACUUGUGCUUUUUGAUUCAGGAGCAUCACAUUCUUUUGUGAGUUCAGACUUUGUGUCUAAGCAUAAUCUCAAGGCAAUUACACUUGAUAAGGGUAGUUAUUGCAUUAGUGCUGCUGGGAAUGAUAUUUCUACCAAUCAAGUGGUUUUUGGAGCAACUCUGGAAAUUGGAGGCCGUCAGUUUCUUGCUGAUCUGGUUGUCUUACCCGGUGUGGGUAUAGAUGUAAUUCUGGGUAUGAAUUGGAUGAGUGGUAACGGAGUUCUUAUCGACACCACCACUCGUGUAGUUAUGUUGAGAGACCCAAAUACCAAGGAGGCGUUCUUAGUGCAACUUCCUCAAGAUAUCCAUAUCCGUAGCACUGCGAAUGCAGUUACAUCUAAGGCCAUCAAGGAUAUUCUGGUCGUGUGUGAGUUCUCGGAUGUAUUCCCUGAUGAUUUGCCCGGGCUUCCUACAGACCGAGAUGUGCAGUUCAAAAUUGAAUUGAUCCCAGGUACCGCUCCUAUCUCUAGAAGACCAUAUAGAAUGCCACCAAAUGAGCUAGUUGAGCUUAAGAUCCAGUUGAAUGAGUUGUUAAAGAAGGGUCUUAUCCGUCCUAGUUCUUCUCCUUGGGGUUGUUCGGCUAUCUUUGUGAAGAAGAAGGAUCAAUCCUUGCGCAUGUGUGUGGAUUAUCGUCCCCUAAAUGCGGUGAUCAUCAAGAAUAAAUACCCUCUUCCUCGCAUUGAUCUCUUGUUUGAUCAGUUGUCUAAAGCUAAGGUAUUCUCCAAGAUUGAUUUGCGAUCUGGGUAUCAUCGGAUCAAGAUCCGUCCUGAAGAUGUACCUAAGAGAGCUUUCUCGACGAGGUAUGGGUUGUAUGAGUAUCUCGUCAUGUCCUUCGGUCUUACGAAUGCACCUGCUCAUUUCAUGUACCUUAUGAACUCGGUGUUCAUGCCCAAAUUGGACAAGUUUGUGGUGGUCUUCAUUGAUGAUAUCCUCGUAUAUUCCUGCAAUGAAGAGGAGCAUGCAGAGCAUCUGCGUGUGGUGUUAUCAUGCUUGCGUGAGCAUCAGCUUUAUGCCAAAUUUAGCAAAUGCGAGUUUAGGCUAAAGAAAGUACCUUUCUUGGGCCAUGUCUUAUCUGAAGAAGGCAUAUCGGUGGAUCUGGCUAAGGUGCAAGAAGUGCUGGAUUGGAAAGUUCCUACAUCGGUGCACGAGGUUCGGAGUUUUCUCGGUUUGGCUGGAUAUUAUCGACGAUUCAUUCUGGAAUUUUCAAAAAUAUCCAAGCCUAUGACUCGUCUACUUCAGAAAGAUGAGAAGUUUGUGUGGACGCCUGAGUGUGAAGAGGCAUUCCACAAGUUGAGGACGUUUCUGACAUCAGCUCAUGUCCUAGCUCAACCUGAUAUCGAGAAGGCAUUCGAUGUCUUCUGUGACGCGUCGGGUAUUGGUCUAGGCUGCAUGUUGAUGCAGGAAGGUCGCGUUAUCGCGUAUGCCUCGUGCCAACUUCGAAAGCAUGAGGUCAAUUACCCUACUCAUGACUUAGAAUUGGCAGCAGUUGUUCAUGCUUUGAAAAUCUGGAGGCACUAUUUGCUGGGUAAUCUAUGCAAUAUCUACACCGAUCAUAAGAGCCUCAAGUACAUCUUCACUCAACCUGAAUUAAAUAUGCGGCAGCGAAGGUGGCUUGAGUUGAUUAAAGAUUAUAAUCUACAAGUGCACUAUCAUCCGGGCAAGGCAAACGUGGUUGCGGAUGCCUUGAGUCGAAAAGCGCACUGUCACUCAGUGCAGGUGGAAGAUCCGUUGUUAUCACAUCUUAUGCAUCCACUUGUGCUCAACCAGAUUUCUCUGGAGAGUACCCUUCGCAAUCGAAUUAUCGAAUUACAGCAAAAAGAUGUAGGUAUCCAACAUAUAAAGAGGAAAAUGACAGAAGAAGAAACCAAGCAUUUCUGGGUCGAUGAGAACGGAAUUCUUUGGUUCAAUGAUCGACUAGUGGUCCCAAAAGACCGUGAGCUACGAAAUCAGAUCUUAUCUGAAGCUCAUUCAUCCAAAUUUUCUAUCCAUCCUGGUAGCGGCAAGAUGUAUCAGGAUCUGAAACCUCUGUUUUGGUGGACAAAGAUGAAAAAGGAGAUUGCUGCUUUUGUCGCUUGUUGUGACAAUUGUUGUCGCGUGAAGGCCGUUGACAUGAAAGCUGGUUUGCUUCAACCCUUGUCAAUUCCUGGUUGGAAAUGGGAAGAAGUCAGCAUGGAUUUCAUCGUUGGACUCCUAACUUCUGUUAAGGGUUACGACUCUAUCUAGAUAAUUGUAGAUCGUUUGACUAAGGUUGCUCGUUUUAUUCCAGUUCGAACUGACUAUCGCCCACAUCAAUAUGCAGAGUUAUAUUUCGAGCACAUUGUUCGUUAGUAUGGUGUGCCUCGAACCAUCAUAUCAGAUUGUGGACCAUAGUUCACUGCCUAUUUUUGGGAGUGUUUACAUGAGCAGAUUGGUACUCACUUAUUCCGUGGUUUUGCUUAUCAUCCCCAAACGGCAGGUCAAACUGAACGGGUCAACCAAAUCCUAGAAGACAUGUUGAGGGCAUGUGCUCUCUCUUCAAAGGGUUCUUGGGUUAAGUGGUUGCCAUUAGCUGAGUUCUCCUACAAUAAUAGUUAUCAGGAAAGUAUCAAGAUGGCUCCAUUUGAAGCCCUGUAUGGUCGAAAGUGUCGAACCCCGUUGAAUUGGGUAGAAUCCGGGGAGCGAAUGUAUUAUGGCAUCGAUUUUGUGAACGAAGCGGAGCAGCAAGUCCGUACCAUCCAGCAACAUCUGGAAGCUGCUCAAGCUCGUCAGAAAAGUUAUGCUGACAAGAGAAGGAAGCCGAUUGAGUUUGCAGUCGGUGACCAUGUAUAUAUCAAGGUGUCUCCGAUGAAGGGCGUACAAAGGUUUGGAGUCAAGUGAAAGCUUGCACCUCGUUAUGUGGGACCCUAUUAGAUUCUUGAAAGGAAAGGGGAUGUGGCAUACAAAGUUCAACUCCUAGUUGAGCUUCGAGCUAUUUUUCCUGUCUUCCACGUAUCUCAAUUGAAGAAGUGCCUUCGUGUUCCGGAGGAACGAGUGGAAGUUCGGGAUAUCAAGUUAAAAUCUAAUUUCGAGUAUGAAGAACAACCUGUAGCGGUUCUUGACCGCAAGGAAAGGGUAACUCGUAAUCAUGUGGUUAAAUUCUACAAGGUGUUGUGGAGUAACCAAGGGGAAGAAGAUGCCACUUGGGAAACAGAGGACUAUUUAAAAGAAGUUUAUAAAACCUUCUUCGAAAACCAGUAAGCUUCCAAAUCUCGGGACGAGAUUUUUGUAAGGGGGGAGGGCUGUAACACCCCAGUGUUAUGGUUGCAUAAAUCACAUGAAUAACUUGAGCAUCAUUAGUUACUCAAGCAUAUCAUGAUCAUCAUCUACCUUGAGUCAUGUCAUUCUAUGCAAAAAUGUGAUUUAAGUUGUCUAAAUAGGCUUCCUAGGAUUGUGUUGGUGCAUACCAUGCUUGUGUUUGUGCUCUAUGCCUUUGUAAUUAUUUUAUCUAUGCUUAACUCAACAUUAGGAUCAAUGUUCAUGUUGAUCACUUCUCCAAAAUAAUCACUUAAGUCAUACUUACUUUAAUAGGCCCUAGAAACCUCUUUCGCUUAGGCUUUUAAAAAGUGUUUCAUAAAUUAUUUGCAUGUCAAAGCUUUCUACAGCAAAGUUGUAGCAAAUUUUAUAAGGAACAAAAGUUGUUUUAUGGCCAUCUCAAGAAAAUGAUCAAAACUAGCUCAAAAGUGACCCACAAGGCAGAUUUGGGGCUGUUUCCAACACUUAGAAAUAUUUUCUAAGUCCGGGAACACAAACAGUUUGCCCGAUCGAUUUUGAAAACUUCAUACCUCUCAAUCCAGGCCGAUCUAGCUUUUGCUCUAGUUGACAAUGUUGUAGAACUUAGCUAGUACUCCAACUUUGUCAACAACAUCAUCUCCUAACUCGCUCUGGUUUGGGAGUUAAUCGUUGUCAAAGUAGCUCUGUCAGUCGGCCAUCGUUUUAACUGAAUCGAGGCCGAGCUCGUCGACGUGGCCGACCGGCGGUAGAGCUCCGUCGACAUUUGGCGUCUGUACGUCGCUCCUGGCCCCGCUUGUCAGCUCCCAGCGCGCGCAUGACCUCCACGGCGACACCCCGGGCGAAGUGAACGCGUCCAUUUCCUUCUGCUUCGCCCUCUCUCGCCAGAAACGCGGCCGCAGCGAGCUCACCGUCGCGAGCUCACUCCGGCGAGCUCGUACGUGCUCUGCGCUGAUGACCACCAAACUUUGCCCACAGCUCCGCCGUGAACCGCUCUCCACCCUCCACCCGCUAACUCGCCGUGAAACCCGCCGGUGAGCCGCCAUUUCCAUUUUCCCCAAAUCGGGUUGCCGUGACCUUUUUCUCCGGCGAACUCAAUGCCGAGCUCCUCGGAGCCUCUCGUCUUCUCUGGUUAGGUUGUAGAGGUAGCUUAGGUCCUUAGCGAGCGUUUGCGCCACUUGGUGGACGCUCUACCGCGCUCACCGUCGCCGGACACGACGCGCAGCGCCGCCGUGUUUCCGCCGGAGUUGGGGUCUCUCGUGGCCAGCGCGUUCCACGCCGUUUCAAGCCAAGUCGCCGACCUAGGAAGCUUUGCUGUAGUCCGCUGGUGCUGUAGGAAACCCUAGGUCGCGCUCUACCGUCCUGAGAGCUCUGGUGUAACGCCGAGCACCUCCGCCGAGCCGCCAUGAUCGACGGCGAGCCCCUUCCGGUGGCUCCGCCGUGGGGAAAAGGGGGUCAAUCGAGUCGCAAGGGUCUGGGGAUCACGUUGGUGCCCUUGGUUUGGCCGGAGACCUCGCCGUCGCGGAGAAAUCGCCGGCGAGAGUCGCGGCGGCUGUGAGGAAGAAGAACCUGUCGCGUGGGCUCUGCUGUCAGUGACACUCGUUUCCCUCCUUUUGUUUUAUUCAAAUCCAGAUUUUUGGCUUUCUUGCAAAAAUCAUAUCUUCUAUUUCUGAGAUCCAAAAAUUGUGAAACCAAUUUUGUGAGAUUCUCUGUUAUGGCUAUUGUUUUGAAAAAAUAUAAAAUGAACCAUGUUUUAUGGGAAAAAUAAUUAUUAGGAUUUAAUCUUGUUAUUCAUGAGUAAAUCCAUAUCUUUUGUUAUACUGCUCCUUUUGCUAUGAAAUUUUUAUGGUAGUCUCUGUGUGGUACUAGAAUGCGAUGAUAAAUAUUUCAUGAUUUUUGGAGUAACAUAUCUGUGAUAUGUAAUUUAUGUUAGUUCUAUGGCUUGUUUUAUUUUAAAUCACAAUAAUUAAUUGGUGAUUAUGCUGAUGCUCUACUUUGGUGGCAAACUUGUUUGUGGUAUUGGUAACAUGUAAAUAAUCUGAAAUCUGUUGUUUGACACUUUAUAAGCCAUGUUCCUUAAUUUAUGAAAUAUGUACCUUGUCACUUGUUAAAUGCUUAUAUAAAAAUUGGCAUGUGCAAUUGCCCUGAAAGUUUUAUGGUGAUGUUAUGAUGCUAUGCUUGUACUUCUGUAAUUUUUGUAGAUUUUUCUGAGCACUUUUAUCAGUAUCUUGUAAUUAUGCCCCUUUAUAGAAUUAAAUUAAUAAAUGCCUUGUUAAUAAAUGUUUAGAAGUUAUCAUAUGAUGUUCUGGUUGUCUAAUGAUGUGUUUGUGUUGAUAAGCCAUGUGGUUGACAUUGUUUAUGCUUUGGCUAUGUUAUCAAAUAAUUAAUUAAAGGGUUAAGAGCUGCUCUGGGCAGCAAGGAAGCAAUUCAAUCUUUUCUUAUUAAAAACUUGGUUUUCUGGAAGGCUUGUCUAAAUCAAAGUUGUUGUAAACUUUAUGAAUUAGCUGAGGUUUAAAUUUGGGAUCAUUUGGUCCUGUAGUUUGAAAGUUAUGGUUGUUCCAAGUUGGAUUCCAGAAAUAGGCGCUUUCUGUUUUUCUGGGACAGAACCUGGAACUUUGUUUAAAUGACUUGUUUAACCUAUGAAUCUUGCUAUGAUGUUUAAACAUGAUUUGUAGGCAAUAUCAUAAGCUUUCCAGAAUGUCCUCACUUAUGUUUGUUGGAUCAUUUUUGCAAUAGUUAUGACCUGUUUACUCAGCUGUUCUUUAGGUAAUGCUUGCUGUUUAUAGGUUAUCUUGGUAGGUUUUGGCUAAGUUAACUUACCAUCUUGUGUGAACUUGUCAUAACCGUUACUCCGUAAAUGAGUGUCCAGUGAGUUUAAUUAUGUGUCAAGCAUUCAUCCUUUAGUAUGCACACUUUCUUAUUCAUCGAGCAUGCAAUAGGUGCACCGGACGCGACCGCCCCCUACGAGCUUCAAGUGAACCCCGAAGGUCAGGAGGGCAACCCGGAGACGGAGGUCCAGCAAGCCGGACUCGAGGAGCCCGAAGAGGAAGUUGAGUGCCCGAAUCACGAACCAGCCUAGUUUGUGAGAGGCAAGCCCCGGAGCAUCCUAAGUCUCCCCUUUAUUUUCAAAAGUUUACUUGAAUAUGUUAUAUCUAUUGAUGCAUUUUAGUAUAGGAGUUGUGAUGAAACCUUUGCUGCAUUUUACUCAUUCCUUGUCCAGAUAUCUUACCAUUACCUGGUUAUAGAGUUAGGAUCGAGUAGCAGCUUAGCCAUACUUUAAUCGGUAGAAGUCGGGUGAUAUCCUGUCACCUGCGCGAGAUAGGGUUAUGUCGGAUCACGAUUGACUAUAUGUGCUAUCGUGGAUGGAACCUGAUUAAAUUGACUUAAGCCGGGCGGAGUUUUGCAAGGUUGUAGUAACUCCGUCUGUGGCAGCUAAGGACCGACCGUUGUACGUCCUCUUGUCAUGUUGAACGCAUGCCUAACACUUAGUUGGCCGGAUACUCGUUCCGACCGCGAAGUCUAGUGAUAUGACUCAGGCUGGAAGACUGGCAAGUAUAAAGUGCGCACUACCGGAGGAAGUGCGGUGUGCGGGGGACCAUUGGCGUAAGUCCAAAGGCAGGUGAGUUAAAAUUCCUGACCUCCCUAGCAGAAUGGUAGCCCUGGGAGUGCGGCACUGAUUGGAGCCGCGAUUCCUGAGUCGUACCAAAGGUGACCCGUUGGCUCUCCGACGGGGGAUGCUUGGGUGAGUGCUAGGAAUACCCCUCCAGCUGGAUAGGAAUUCGAAUCGAAUCACCGUCUCUCCCGAUUAGUGAGAACUUGACAGAGCACCAGCAAACGUAGCAUUCACUAAUGAUCUUGGUUCGUGAUAAUGAUGAUAGCAAGGAAGAACAUAUGAAGAAUUUGAUAUGGUUAUUAUUGCUUGUAACAAUUAAGUGAAGUGCUUUAGUACAGGUGCUAAUCUUGUGGUAGGCUAAUGAUGAUUAAUAUGAUGCUCUCACCACUUUGUAGUUAUAAUUUAAGCUUUCGGCAACUGUUGAGUCAACCAGCUCCAAUUGAUAUUAGCCUUGCAUGAUCCUUGGUGUCUUUUAUGUUUUACUAGACGGGUAAGUCUAGCUGAGUACAAUCUCGUACUCAGGGAUUAUUCCCAAUUGUUGCAGAUGAUAUCUUUUAUGAUGGCUUCUGCAAGACCUGUCUCCAUCCCGCUGGGGAUGAGGACUAACCGUUGGGCACGGUUCUCUAACUACUUCGUAUCUGUUGCUUUUGGAUGGAUGGCAUAAGACCCUGGCUGAACAAGAACUUGUGAAAUGAACUUUGGAAAGUGUGUGUAAUUAUUUUGCUUCCGCUACUUCGAACAUGUGUUGUAAUAACUUAAUAACUCUGAUGUGGUGCCGCUUCGUUGGCAAUGAAUGACUAUGUAACAUUCGCUGUGUUGUGUUGAACUGUUACGAUCUUGGUUUGUUGCAAGUUGGUUUGAAGUCCUUCGCGAUUUCAGUUGACUACCGGGAUUAUAUGGGCUCAAGUUUGGAAACUUGAUUGCUUGUCGAUCGUUUCUACACUGAACUCUUAUAAUUUGGUCGGUUCUGUGACAUCUAAACAACCUCGGCCCAAUUCUCCUACAGAUUCCUCGAAUUUCUCAACCUCUCAACCAAAUCUCUCCAUUUUAUGCGCUCAUCGGCAAUAUUACCGUUAGAGAAAACUACCGAUGGGCCGACCAGGCGAUCUUGCACAGUAAAAUAUCUUCAAAAUUAUGACCGCUUGCCGUCAAAUCACCUGCGCAAUCCCUUGAUUAUCGUGCGAACAGUUACCAUAUCCAACUGAACACCCUCGGAUUUCACGGAUGCGGCAAAGAGAUAAGUCAGAUUUGCCCCUGCCCGUUUUGUCCUAUAAAUACUUCCUUCUCCGGUACUCCUUCUCCAUCUUAUCAUUCUACAGCUUAAAAUCCACUUUCCUGGCGGCGGCGUUGCCCAAGAGUUCCAAGAACUUCAGCAAGAGCCUCCUUCACCAAUCCUCCAAGUCUUCGAUCCUCUUCCUCGCGAAUAAAUGACCAUCAACUUCGUCGUUCCUGAGGUCAGUCUCCCAUCUUUUUCUUUUCGCACUUUUGCUGUACUCCUAUUCAUCUGCGAUUCCUUUUACUGAGUACCCCUUUUUUUCUUUUUGUUCUUUCAUCCUCAAAACUCUUUACGACUUGGCUGAUAAGAUUGUAAUUCCCACCAAUCAACCUCACUUCCAAUGUCUCGGCCCGUUAGGAAAUCCAGAUCCCACCGAUCUAAUAAACGCAGAGACAAAUAGAAUCCCCUUCAGAGCCGAAAACUUUUCCUUAUAUCUGUGGAAAGAUGCCUUUCGUUCCUGACCUAGUCCCACCAAGGGAUGGAAAGACUGGUUCCUGAGAGUCAGCCACUCAAAUGAAGUCCAGUGGGGUGAGCGGAAAUUAGACCAGUGCAUCAGAUUAUCUCUUGCCGACAUGGAGAGAAACGAGUCACUACUGAUAGCUGCCUCGUAUUUUUGGUCAGACAUGCUCAAUGCUUUUGUAUUCGGCCAUGGCCCUGCUUCACCCACUCUUGCCGAUGUACUUAUGCUCACCAGCUUAGACAUAUCCACUGCCGAUAAUAGUCACCUGUUUGACACCAAGCCCAGUUCUAAAGUAGAAACUCGCACUAUCAGCAGUUGGUCUAGAUACAUUCAGAAGUACCGAAAGACAGGACCUGUCGGGGAAAGGGAGCAGGCAAUUUUCUUGAACAUGUGGUUGGAUAAGUUCGUGUUCUGUGGCCGAUCGGCAGGACCAACCUCUGUCUAUCUAUCGACAGCAGAAAGACUGGCCAAUGGUGGCCGAUUUCCUCUUGGCCGAUAUUUGCUUGGCUCUGUUUACCACCUCCUCCAAUAGGUAGCUAAGAAACUACUGCUAGGCCAACCCAUCGGCAACUUAGGGGGACCCUGGUGGUUCAUCAAUAUGUGGCUUAGUGUCCACAUGCAUAAGCGCCUUGGAUUUGACCUCUUUGCACAGCGCUUCCCCAGAGAUAUAGCUGAAGAUCAUGAGUUGGAUGUAGAAGAAUCGGCAACUCAUUCCCCUCUGAACUAUGGUGAAGCCGCCAUAGUCCUACCUAGUACCGGUGGCAAUGAGGACCGGGUUAGCCAAUUCUUUCAGACUCUCUAUGAGGGUCUGGCCAAAGACCAGCGGGCAUGGAUGCAUUAUGAGGAUCCAGAAACCAGAUUCCUGCUCACUUUCCACCCCUUCGACAAUGCUCUCAAUAAGGACCACGAUCUGAUGAUGGCAAUCAUCACUCCGAGAGUCAUACCAGUGAACUUCUUUGGUAGCGGGAAAGCCUCCAACCUGACCUAUGAGUUCUAUAACCUAUCGGCACUAGCUCGCCAACUAGCCUUUGGACAACUGCCGAUUGCACUCUGCUACGCCGAUGUGGUGAAACCAAGGGAAACCAUAUCCAGCGGUCUCGAGUGGAUCAGAGUAGCUCAACUUCCACCAAAUGCCGAUAUAGAUGUCGAUCUAUCGGCUUGGAUCCCGGCUCUCUUCAUUACCCAGGCAUACAAGUAGUGGUUAUUGACUGUCCUUAAGUAUCAAAUAUAAUUAUCAAAUAAACAAAGAAAAGCAUCCAAAUGAAAUCAACAUCUAGACUUAGGGUUUUAUCUGAUAGAAUUCCACGAGUUUUGGUGUUUGUCUAUUUUUGCAGGGGGUUAUUAGGAAAUAUGGAAGAAAGCCCCACACCUCGGGAUUACAUAGAGAUAUCAACGUGCCGCGCAAUUAUCUUACAUCUAGAAGACUCCAAAAGCCACGGGAAGGAAGCGGAGGCCGAACGGGGCCAGGCACUGGGCGCCCGCCCAGUUGACAUGGGCGCCCGCCCACCUCUGGAGUCCAAACAGGACUCUCUUUCGGGAAAGAUCUCCACCGACCUAAAGGAUCAAGGAUAACCGUUCAAUCAAUGUCGGUUUGAUCCAACGGCCCAUAUUCACUUGAAGGGACUAUAAAACCAGACCCCCUGGCCCCUGGAGGAGGGAGCCUCUCAACCCUAAUUCAUUAUUCCUCAAGGGAGAAGAAGCCUCUGAUCAAGAUUAGAGCCACCACAUCAAUUAGAUAUCUAGAUUAGCAUAGCUACAUAGGAUUAGAACUAGAAGGAGUCAAUCUUCGAUUGGUUUCUGGAUCUGUCAAGAGGAUUCUUGGUAAUUCUCUAAUUGUUCUUCUAAUUGUUCUUCUAAUCAUCUUUGUUCUUCAAUAUUAUGAAUAUGACUUUGUCCUACUUCAAUAUAUUGCUUAUGACUUUGCUCUACUUGUUCAUAUUCAAGAUUAUAUUGUUCUUAGUCUAUCAUAGUUAUGUACUUGGCUUAGUUAGAUUGGAUCUAUAUACAUGCUUAGGAUCGUAUAGCGUUUAUCCAUCGGAUCCAUGGGUAAAUGAAAGAUAUUGUGUAGGCGUGGUGCUUAUACCGUAUUUAUCUGCGAUUGUACCCCAUAUGCCAGAUCGUGGGGUAGUUCGUGAUAGUGACAGCUUCAUUGAGUCUUAUAUAGUCCCCCUCUCGUGUAUUGGGCUGGCAGAGCAAUAUUAUUACAGGGGAGUGAUUGCUAUGUUUCUCAUUUACCUUGCUAAUAUCACUAUGCAUGGGCGUAGUCUUGUCUUGCAAUGAUUGCUAAGUAUGCUUGCACUAACUAUGAUAAUGCUAGACUAUAUAGUUGAGAAUAACUUAUGAAAUAUUCUUUUAGUUCAUUCUAAUACCAUGCUAAUGACUUUCUAUAGUAUCUAAUUGAGGUGCUUAUCAUAUUUAUUAUGUGGCUAAGUUAUGCUGAUCGGACUAAUUAUCUUUGUCACUAUUCAUUACUUUAUAUAUCCUUUAUGUGACACUUACCCCUGUAUGAAAGAGUUAGAUAAAGGUUCUCAAUUAUACAUGCAAUGAUAGAUACUCAAUCUCAUAUUCUAUUCUGUAAUCAAUAUUGAUGGCUACUAAUCCCUUCCCAGUGGUAAAAAUAUAAAUAACAAUACCUGGAAUACUUCCCGGUUAAAAUGCUACAUCGGUAUUAAUCUGUGCGCUUGCAGAUCCCAUUCAUUAUUAUUUAGAAGAGAAAUUGCAUAUUUCAAUACCGCGUCUUUCAUGUCAUGCUGGGGAUGACAACUUGGCAUAAGUGGUAUGAGAGACAGGUUUGGCAUUUUUGGCACCGUUAUCAGAUUUAGAAAACUAAGUCUACUUUUGGUAAUGAUGUUAAGAAUAUCCAACAAGCAUUUUUGGGCGCCGUUGCCAAGGAAGGUUGAUUACUAAUCAGGAAUGAAUAUGGAAUUUUGAGUCAUCAUUCGCAUCACUAAUAUGAUUGAUCUUAUCUAUUCUCUCAUACAAUUUUACCCUGAUAUUUUUCUAUUUUCUCUUAUGCAGGGUAAUGUAUGAAUAGAAGGCAUCUUCCAGGACAUUUUGUUGACAAUCCCGAAGCAUUAUUCAGAAAAACAAGAGUCAAGCUCAAGAAGAGAUCAUCAACACUUCAGCAAGAAGCUUCAUCCAAUCAAGAAGAUCACCAGAACUUGUCUUCAGAUUUCGAAGCCAUGGCAAACAAAUCGAUCCGCGAGUUCUCAGCUCCCACUACAGACAACAUCCGCACUGGACCUGCUGCAGAGAUCGAUGGCAACUUUGAGCUCAAGCCUGGACUUAUCAACAUGGUGCAAUCCAACCAGUUCUGUGGGAAGGCACACAAAGUUGCUAGUUCUCAUCUCCAACACUUUCUAGAGAUUUGCAACACAUUCACUAUAUGAGGAGUCCCCAGAGAUGCUAUACUACUUCGCCUCUUCCCAUUCUCACUGUUAGGAAGAGCGAAGCAGUGGUUCUACGAUACAAAGGAGAAGAAUACUACGUGGGCACUCUACUCAACAAACUUCCUGGCUAAGUUCUUUCCCAUGGGCAAGACUAAUGCUCUUCGUGGGAAGAUUACAAGUUUUCAGCAACAAAAUGAUGAAUCUGUUCCAGAAGCAUGGGAGCGCUUCCAAGACUACAUCCUAGAUUGUCCCCAUCAUGGAAUGGAGAGCUGGCAACUAAUGCAAACAUUUUAUCAUGGGCUCGGCAACAGUGCUCGAGAAACCAUGGAUGCUGCAGCUGGAGGAGCAUUCUUAUCACUUACCAUAUCACAAGCCACAGCUCUUGUGGAGAAGAUGGCGUCCAACCAAAGCUGAAAUGAAGAGAGGACCCAGACACGCAAGAGAGGUGGAGGUAUGCAUCAGCUCAAGGAGGUAGACAUGCUGUCUGCAAAGCUAGACCUGCUCAUGAAGAAGCUCGACGAUAGAGCUAGAGAUAAGAAAGAAGUUAUGCACAUCUACGACUCUCACAUGACUUGUGAGGAGUGUGGAGAUACUGGACACUCAAGCAAUCACUGCCCUGAGAUGCUUGAGGAUGUGAACUACAUCAACAACAACAACUACUACUACUACAACUGUCCUCAACAAAAUCAAGGUUGGAAUCAACAGAGGCCUAACUACUCAGGUAAUUAUCAAGGUAACAAUUCUUACAACAAUAAUAAUAAUUUUCCACCUCUGAGAGAGUUAGCGUCUAAUCAAGGAAAGCUAAUGGAUAACCUGUCUAAGAAAUUGGCAUCUAAUGAUAAAAUGCUAGAAAAUAUAAAUAAUAGAAUGGAUAAUUUCUCUACUGCCAUCAAGAAUCAAAUUAGCUUUAAUAAAAUAAUUGAAUCUCAGUUAAAUGAAAUAGCUGCUGCUGUUCCUACUACUAACACCGGUAUACCAUCACAACCAGAAGGAUUAGAAUCUGCAAAUCUUGUAGACAUGUUUGAUGUAGGUAAUUGGAGUAACCCUGUCACUGAAUUCACUACUAACCUUCUGCCAGUCAAGAUAGGCGAUCUAGGACGCUCCAUCAUCUCGAUCUCCAUUGGCAUGGUGGACUUCCCAGAAGCACUCUGCGACUUUGGCUCUAGUAUCAACAUUAUACCCAGGGUACUCUAUGAAAAAUUCUUUACAUAUCCUUUAUUAGAAACAACCAUGUGUUUGCAGUUUGCAGAUAAGUUUUCCAAAAGGAAUAUUGAAGAACCUUUGUGUCUGAGUUGGUACCUUAUAUGCCCCAGCAGACUUCGUGGUGAUAGAGACCGGUAAUGAUGAGAGGGCACCCAUCAUCUUAGGGAGGCCAUUCUUGAACACCUCGGGAGUUGUCAUCUACGCUAGUGCUGCCAAGAUCAGUUUCUACAUCAAAGGGAGAAAGGAGACGUUUUCCUUCAAGAACAAGACUACAAAAAUCCUAGAUCAAUCCAGACGUGAAUCAAGGAAGAGGACCAACAGGAGGAACAGGAACAAGCAAGGGUGUACCGAGUCAGCUAAGAUGGUCACUGCAGUUCAUGGAGGCCAAGAUCAUCAACUUAAGUCACCAUUUUUGACCAAGAAGGACGACCCAGGAAUGCCAAGCAUCUAUUGCUCCAUAAAUGGAUACAACUUCUACAAGACGACUUGCGACACCGGAUCAGGCGUCAACAUAAUGGCCGCAGUCACCUAUCGGCUCCUGUUCGGACUCAUGCCCCUGAAACCAACAUACAUUCAGCUCCAGAUGGCAGAUCAGACAUUUCGAGAGGUUAAAGGAACAGUAACUGAUGUCCCUAUCAAAAUAGACGAUCAUUUUGUCUACACAGACUUUCAGGUUAUUGACAUGGGAGAAGACGAAUACGAUCCACCCAUCAUCCUUGGAUGACCGUUCCUCAGCACCGUUAAAGCAAUCAUCUACAUUGGAACUGGAGAAGUCCAUAUGCACUUCCCCUCGGAGAAGGUACGCCGCUAUUUUACUGACCCUAACUAUAUCGUUGAAGACUCUAAGUAGGUCAGGACAAGAAGAAAACGACGCAACCGCAACCAGAGGAGGCACAUGAUCAAGGAAGGAUGGGCAGACUACGAAAGAGAAGUGAUAAGGUCAGAAGACAUACAGUUUAAACUGAAUUAUCUAGAGAAGACCGUAGCACCGAGUCAGGUAUGGAAAGAGAAGAUAACUAUACAUGAAGAGGAGGCGCUGCCGGAAGUACCGACUCCGCCACCCAACGAAUCCCACGACAACUAGAAAGAGGAGAGUCCCGUUCGGAGGACUUAAAAACACCGAACGCCUUGCCAAGAUAUAAAGUUGGUAGUUAUCCUUUCCCUUUUAAUUAUUUAAAAUAGUUUGUUUAGUUAAUCAUGUUCAUACUAUCUUAAAAAGAAAAUAAAAAUGUUAAAAAACAGUAAGCCCCAUGUGAGUAUACGAGUGGCAUGAAACCCAUAAAUACAUUCACUGUGGUGGCAUAAUAAUAAAAUAAAUAUUUCUUUUCUGCUUUAUAAAAUGAAAAUAUAAAAAUAGAGAGUAAUAAUUAUUAAGGAGACUCAAUAUGAUAAAGGCUAGAUAUUUAUGCUAACACCUAAUCAGUUCCACAAAGAUUUGUUGUCUAUUUGAGCUCCACAGAAUUUAAGAAUCAAGAAGACUAGCAGAUGGAGGACAUUCUAAUCGCUGUCAAAUUACUGCCAACUUUCAAAUACACCUCUGCCACCUGCUAGCUACAUCAAGAGAAAUUACGUCAAAAUUCAGCUUGGGGGAGAGCACCCCCAUUUAUCCCGAUAAGUAUUUCUAUCUAUCUUUAUACUUAUACUAUAUUAAAAUAUAAAUAUACAUAAUUAUGGAAAACCAAAUAAAGAUUUUAUGCUUAUAUAUAUGUGUCUUUUGCUUAGUAUGUUUAAUAAACAAAUAAAGUGGCUAUGCUAAUCUGAAUCUUAAUAAUAAAACUCUAGCAUGGAUAUGAUGAAUAGUUGCUCUGCCUAAUUUUAAAAUUUGAAGUUCUCUCUCAAGUUUACACAUAACUGUUAUGAUUUAAAGCUUGCUCUAAACCUAAACUUGUGGGAAGAAAACUUGAUCUGAAGUCUAAGUUGUUAACAGAUACGAUAUGGGAAGGUUGAGCUGUUGUUUAUCUAUUCCUAGAGAUACUAGAAUUCUGGAGAAUUUUAUCUUUGAAAAUCUUUAAAAUAUUACAUGGUGAGUUCUUGUAUGAUGAGAUUUUAAAUUCCUACCACAGCCAUAUAUAGACAUGCUUGCUAGACUUUGAGCCACACAUUUACUUUUUACUGCUUAUGAGCAUUGAGUGUGGUUAAGCUGUCUAGACCCUUAGGAGCUUGUCAUGUGGUUAAAUCAAGAUUCACUUGCACGUUCACUCACAUUGGUUGCUUCUACUCCGGAAGUACCAUCCACAUAUAUCCACCCAUUUCCAUCUCCAGAACCACCCAAAAAUAUUCUACUCCUAAUCCGGGAGAGAAUAGCCAAAAAAAUUUCUAUUUUUUCCUUGUGAAAUAAAUGCUCAAGUUAUCUUGUUACUACCACUUGCUAUAUUAUCUCAAGAGAUGAGUGCUCUAAAAAAAGGGAAAAGAUACGAGGAAAUAAAAAGAGGCAAGUGCCCGGAACCUCUAAAGAAAAGAAAAAGUGAGACGAGAGGUAAAAAUGGACAAGUGCCCGACAAUAGAAUUAGGGGUACAAGAUACCCCCCUGAGAGGAAAGAAAAAAUAAGAAAAAGAAAAAUAUAGAGCAUCUCAUUCUCCUCGCAAAGUUUCAAAAAGCAAGAAAGGUAUGUAUCCCAUCAAAAGAGCAAUUGCAUAUUUCAAUACCGCGUCUUUCAUGUCAUGUUGGGGAUGACAACUUGGCUUAAGUGGUAUGAGGGAUAGGUUUGGCAUUUUUGGCACCGUUAUCAGAUUUAGAAAACUAAGUCUACUUUUGGUAAUGAUGUUAAGAAUACCCAACAGUGGUGGGAGGAGUGCAAAGAACACAUGUUCUGCAGAUCGGCCCUCACAUAGCGCGGCAUGAUCACCCCGAAUACAAGGUCCCUGAUAACACUGUAAGUCUUCAACCGAUACUUCAAUCUUAUUACUUUUGCUUUUAUCGGCAACUUACUUCCUCUAUUUUACAAAGGUCGUUGAUACACCACCGUCGGUCAGCAGAAGUGGUAGGCCGAUCGAACUUCCCCCAUCGGGCCCAAUCUCUUUGAUCGGCAACAACGCGCCAAGUUUGGCAGCUUUAAUGCACCGGGGUGUGCGCUUCAAGAAAAUUACCACCAAGCGAGCUAAGACAUCCCCAUCGGUAGCCGCUACUGCUUUGGCACAAGCUUUCAAGGUAAACUCUUGACUUCUUCAACUUAUACCGAUUCCGUUCCAUACUUACACAACUUUUUCAGGACACAUCGGUUGCUAUAGGAACUUCAUCGGUAACUUUCACUGUUUCAACCAAAAUUUCAUCAAUACUCUGUUACCCUUGUACUUAAGAAAUUUUAAUCGUUGUAUCAGCAAUCUAGCAAAUCGGCGAAGACCAGAAGUACCAAGACGACUGCCGAUGCCCCCCAGUCCAGCCAAGUAAAGAGAAAGGGUCCCAAGAGUGCCAAGUCACAAGCAAAGCGUCAGAGGAUAGUAUCACCUCCUCCCCCUCCUCUAGGGUCACCGAUUCACGUGGAAUCAUCUCCUUCUUCACCAGAGGCUCAGACGCAGCAAGCACCAUCUCCACCUCAGCCACAAGAGGUAUCUCGGCCAGAAGAAAUAUCAGCCGAUGUACCUGAGCAGACCGUCGAUCCAGCGGGACCAAUCAUUUCAUCGAUAGUCUCCUCCAUCCAGACAAGCACUGCACCCCCUCAAGGUAAAGUACUAUCUAUGAAAUCAUUGCGAUGAACCUAUCCUUCCAUCUUAUAAUUAUCCCUGCUAAUUUUUUAGCUGACAUUGUCCCAUCGGCAACUCCGGCCGAUCAACCUGUAGUACCAUCGGCCUCAACUAGCCAGAGGCGAGAAAUAGCCUUGAAACAAGUAAGCUAUUUGAUUGUCAUUCUUUAUUUUACUAACAUUGCAUCAUCAAAUAACCCAUCUCCUUUUCUUUUUCAGGAACAAGAUUCUCCCGACAGCCUGUUCUCCUUUGCCAUCAAAAUUUCCAAAGAUGAAGGCGAGGAAGCAAGCUCUUUCCAAGCAAUCGGGAUCUCAUCGGCAGAAAUCGGAGCAAAGCUGGAAGAUUUGCUGGCCCUGCUUCAUCAGGAUACAGCCCAAUUGGUUGAUGACUCCGAUCCAGCCAAGGCUCUAUUUAAAGCUCUCAGAGGCCAAGUUUCUGCCGAUGCCGAGGAGACCCUCUUCAAGGCUGCACACUUGGAGAGUCAACAGCUUCAGUACCAAAAGGAUGCUCAGCGCCUUGCCGAUAGAGCCGCUCAUGCCCAGCUUUCAGAGGAGGUGAUGGAAGUGAAGCACCUUGCCGAUGAGAAACACAAGAGCAUCGGCGUUCUGAAAUCCUCCGGGGACACACUGAAACAAAAGAUAUCCGACUUAUCGGCAAAAAGGGAAGCCUUGUUGGCAGAGCUUAAGCAAGUAGAAGAGGCCCUGUCCCAAGCUCAACACGAAGAAAGUCAGCUACCCGAAACGAUCAAGACCCUCAAACAAGAGCGAAAUGUCCAAGCUCGCAAGGCACUGCAGAUGAAGAAGAAGCUGAAACAGGUGGAAGGCUCUGCCGAUGAAGAUAUGAAGGAAAUAGAAGAAGCGAAUCAAAUUCGUCUACGCGCCAUAUCGGCGAUCCAAUCUCUGCUGAAUGUAUGAACUCCCCAUCGGCGGCAUGUUUUGCUUUUUCUUCAAAACUGCUGAUUAUUUUGGUCUAGCCGAUAGGACUGUUAUCGACAUUUCUUGAAACAUCGUAUUCAGUUCGAAACACACUUUAAUCCAGCCGAUAGGAAUGUUAUCGGCACUUAAGCUUUUAUGCAUCGACCCAUAUGCUUGGGUAAUAUUUCUUCAAAUAUUUUCCAUUCAACACUCUAGAAAAUUCAACUCCUUCGAGAGUUUCCAAAAUAUAGGCAUUACCAGGAGCAGAUCUAUUUAUUCGAUAAGGACCUUCCCAAUUGGGAGACCACUUGCCAAACGUUGAACUUUUAGUCCCAAUCGGCAAUAUUAGUUUCCAUACCAAAUCUCCAUCAGCAAAUUCCUUAGCCUUUACCUUCUUAUCAUACCAUCUGGCAACUCUCUUUUUAUUUUCCUCUAUAUUUAUUAAAGCCUUCAGCCGGUGCCCUGCUAAAUCAUCUAACUCAUCUUUCAUCAAAGUAGCAUAGUCAUCGGCAGCCAGCUGAUCUUGGAAAGAUAGUCGCCUAGACCCAGUCUUAAUCUCCCAUGGCAGUACUGCAUCGUGCCCGUAUACCAACUGAUAAGGCGAAACUUUGGUCGACCCAUGACAAGUCGUCCGAUAUGACCACAAUGCUUCAUUUAGCAAUGUAUGCCACCUCUUAGGAUUUUCCUCAAUUUUCCGUUUGAUAAGCUUAAUAAUUCCUUUGUUAGAUGCCUCGGCCUGCCCAUUGGCUUGAGCAUAAUAAGGAGAAGAAUUCAACACUUUAAUUCCCAUACCGAUUGCGAAUUCAUCAAACUCUCCCGAUGUAAACAUAGUACCCUAGUCGGUAGUAAUUGUUUGAGGAAAACCAAAUCGGUAAAUAAUAUGCUCGUUCACAAAAUCAAUCAUAUUGGCCGAUGUAACUUUCUUCAAAGGAAUAGCUUCAACCCACUUAGUGAAAUAUUCAGUGGCAACUAAGAUGAACUUAUGCCCUUUGCUCGAUGGUGGGUAAAUCUGGCCGAUCAGAUCAAUAGCCCAUCCUCGGAACGGCCAAAGUUUAAUAAUGGGAUUCAUGGCCGUUGCGGGUGCCCUUUGAAUAUUGCCAAACUUUUGACAUCCAUUGAAAUACUUAAAACAAUCUUCAAGUAUAGUCGGCCAAUAAUACCCAUUUCUUCUGAUCAUCCAUUUCAUCUUAAAAGCCGACUGAUGUGCUCCACACACUCCUUCAUGGAUUUCUCCCAUCAAACUUUUUGCUUCAUCAUCACCUAAGCAUCUGAGAAGAACCCCAUCUAUUGUUCGAUAAUAAAGCUCACCCUCCAGGAGCACAUAUUUGGUAGCUUGAAACCGGAUACGCCUCUCAACCUUCUUAGACAGAUCCUUUAAAUAAUCAAGAAUCUCUUUUCUCCAAUCAUCGGCACCGAUUGCCGAUAACGUAUUCAAUAUGGGUUGAUAUCCCGAGGCAUGCUGAGCCAACCGAUUAGCCUCCUCAUUAUGUAACCGAGGAACAUGCUCUAAUCGGAAAUCCUUGAAUUCCUUUAACAGUCGCAUACUCUUUUCAUAAUAGACUAUCAAGACCUCGCUUCGGCAUUCAUAACUUCCAGCCAAUUGAUUUAUAACCAGCAUAGAAUCCCUAAAGAUUUCAACAGCAUUAGCAUGAACUUCUUUUAACAAUUCCAACCCCUUGUUCAAAGCUUGAUACUCGGCUUGAUUAUUUGUUGAUGUAGCAACAAUCGGCAAAGAGAACUCAUAUUUCCUUUUGCCGAGGGGAAACUAACACUAUGCCGAUUCCUGCCCCCCGGUCGCACGUGGAUCCAUCAAAGAAGAGCGUCCAAGGCACAAUUUCUAAAGUUUUCACUUUACCGCGAUGUUGAGCCACAAAAUCAGCCAUAAUGUGACCUUUAACCGUUUUAGCCGAUUCGUAACGUAGAUCGAAUUCCGACAACGCCAAAAUCCAUUUACCGAUUCUACCACUCAUAAUCGGCAUAGAUAGCAUAUAUCGGACCACAUCAUCUUUGCAUAUAACAGUGCAUUCGGCCGACAGCAAAUAGUGCCUCAACUUAAUGUAAGAAAAAUAUAGGCAUAAACACAAUUUUUCAAUGGCCGAAUACCUGGUCUCAGCAUGAAUCAAUCUCCUACUCAAAUAGUAAAUCACACGUUCCUUCCCUUCAAAUUCUUGAAUCAAAGCCGAGCCGAUGACCAUCCCAUCCGUAGACAAAUAUAAUCUAAAGGGCUUUCCUUGUUGAGGUGGAAUCAGAACUAGAAGAUUUGUCAAAUAAUUCUUGAUUUCAUCUAAGGCCAAUUGUUGUUCUUUUCCCCAUACAAACUCUUGAUCGGCUUUCAAUUUAAGCAAAGGACUGAAAGCACGAAUUUUACUAGACAAAUUAGAUAUAAAUCGCCUGAUAAAAUUUACCUUGCCGAUCAAAGACUGGAGUUCAGUUUUGUUGGUAGGGGGAACUAUCUUGUUGAUAGCAUCAAUAGAUCGUCUACCAAUUUCAAUUCCUCUAUGAUGCACCAUGAAACCAAGAAAUUGCCCUACCGAUACACCAAAUGCACACUUAUUUGGAUUCAUCUUUAAACCAUGUUUUCUUGUGCACUCCAACACCUUUCGUAGACCGACAAGAUGCUUUGUGAAGUCUCCAGACUUAACCACCACAUCAUCAAUAUCUAUUUCCACCAACUUGUUGAUGAACUCAUGAAAGAUAAAAUUCAUAGCCCUCUGAUAAGUAGCACUAGCAUUUUCCAAGCCAAAGGUCAUGACUAUCCAUUCGAACAACCCAACAUGACCAAGACAUCUAAAUGCGGUCUUCGGAAUAUCUUCCUCAGCCGUGAAUAUUUGAUUAUAUCCUGCAUUGCCACCUGUUGACACUUGCUAACACCACUUGAAUACUAGGUUGUCUUCCCCAGCAUGGCACCAGAGUGUACUAUGGUAUUUAUACGCACACAGAUAAAUCCGCAAGCGCACGGAUACCGUUGUAGCUUUUACCCGGUUAAAGGUUUUAUCUUAUCUACAGGGAAACGGGAGAACUGAUCUACGCUCUAACUUAACCUAGAUAGAUAGGUAGGUGUAAAUAGGAAAGAUGGUAGAAUUGAAUAAGAACAAUAUUAAAAGUAAGAUAACAAUGAGUGAUAAUAUGAGAAUAGAGAGUAGAGCAAUCUAGUAUACGGGCGAUGGUAGGAGAAUAGAGAGGAUAACUAUGGUUUCUCUACUUCAAAGGGGUAUCUCUAUGUCUGGGACGAACCACCUGAUAAGAAUACACUGUUGGGUAUUCUUAACAUCAUUACCAAAAGUAGACUAAGUUCUCUAAAUCUAGUAACGGUGCCAAAAAUGCCAAACCUAUCCCUCAUACCACUUAAGCCAAGUUGUCAUCCCCAACAUGACAUGAGAGACGCGGUAUUGAAAUAUGCAAUUGCUCUUCUAAAUAAAUAAUGAAUGGUAUCUGCAAGCGCACAGAUUAAUACCGAUGUAGCAUUUUAACCGGGAAGUAUUCCAGGUAUCGUUAUUUAUAUUUUUACCACUGGGAAGGGAUUAGCAAUCAUCAAUAUUGAUUACAGAAUAGAAUAUGAGAUUGAGUAUCUAUCAUUGCAUGUAUAAUUGAGAACAUUUAUCUAACUCUUUCAUACAGGGGUAAGUGUCACAUAAAAGAUAUAUGAAGUAAUGAAUAGUGACAAAGAUAAUUAAUCUGAUCAUAACUUAGCCACAUAUAAAUAUGAUAAGCACCUCAAUUAGAUACUCUAGAAAGUCAUUAGCAUGAAAUUAGAAUGAACUACAAGAAUAUUUCCUAAGUUAUUCUAAACUAUAUAGUCUAGCAUUAUCAUAGUUAGUGCAAGCAUACUUAGCAAUCAUUGCGAGACAAGACUACGCCCAUGCAUAGUGAUAUUAGCAAGGUAAAUGAGAAACAUAGCAAUCACUCCCCUGUAAUAAUAUUGCUCUGCCAGCCCAAUACACGAGAGGGGGACUAAAUAAGAAUCAAUGAAGCUGUCACUAUCACGAACUACCCCACGAUCUGGCAUACUGGGUACAAUCACAGAUAAAUACGGUAUAAGCACCACGCCUACACAAUAUCUAUCAUUUACCCAUGGAUCCGAUGGAUAAACGCUAUACGAUCCUAAGCAUGUAUAUAGAUCCAAUCUGUUGCCAAGUACAUAACUAUGAUAAACUAAGAACAAUAUACUCUUGAAUAUAAACAAGUAGAGCAAAGUCAUAAGCAAUAUAUUGAAGUAGAACAAAGUCAUAUUCAUAAUAUUGAAGAACAAAGAUGAUUAGAAGAACAAUUAGAAGCACAAUUAGAGAAUUACCAAGAAUCCUCUUGACAGAUCCGGAAACCAAUCGAAGAUUGACUCCUUCUGGUUCUAAUCCUAUGUAGCUAUGCUAAUCUAGAUGUCUAAUUGAUGUGGUGGCUCUAAUCUCGAUCGGAGGCUUUUCUCCCUUGAGGAAUAAUGAAUUAGGGUUGAGAGGCUCUCUCCUCCAGGGGCCAGGGGGUCUGGUUUUAUAGUCCCUUCGAGUGAAUAUGGGCCGUUGGAUCAAACCGACAUUGAUUGAACGGUUAUCCUUGAUCCUUUAGGUCGGUGGAGCGUAAUCCGCGAGUCGGGUCCUGAUUGGACUCUAGCUCAGGGCGGGCGCCCUAGGGGGGAGGGCGGGCGCCCUGCGCCCGGGCCCGAUCGCCUUCCCGUUCGUUCCUGUGGCUUCUGGAGUCUUCUAGAUGAUAGAAAAUUGCGCGGCACGUUAAUAUCUCUAUGUAAACCUGACAUGUGGGCCUUUCCUCCAUAUUUCCUGAUAACCCCCCUGUAGAAAUAGACAAACACCAAAACUCAUGGAAUUAUGUCAGAUAAAACCCUAAGUUUGGGUGUUGGUUGUAUUUGGAUCCUUUUCUUUAUUUAUUUGAUGAUUAUAUUUGGUACUUAAGGACCGUCAACAACUCCCCCAGGCUUACUUCUUGCUCGUCCCUAAGCAAGGAUGGACUCAAGAGUUUCUGCAGUGGUUUCAUGCCUUAAAAUACACAUGCGUUCAAGCAAGAUCUCAUCUCUGAGUUAAAGUAAACUGUUAAGACUUAAAACUUACUCAUUUUACCUUUCACCAUGGGGCUUGCAACCGUCACUUGUGUCUCGAGCAGUUAAAAGAUAGAAUGGUCAAGUCAAGCGCCAUGUCUCGUAUUCUUGAUCAGCUAUAGCUCUGGAGUUUUUGCAGAUUUUCAAACAAAACUCAGAGAUUCCUUGUAUGACUCUCUCAAAUCUCUCUUUUGUGGUAUUUCUCGAUCCUUUCCGAGGCAGUAAUGGUAUAUGUCUUCUCUCAAAGUAUGUGGUAUUUUUGGUAUGAGGCAUAGUGAUAUUACCUUCUCUCUCACCCUACUCUAAUAAGGUUUUGAUAUCUGGAGCUCAUAGGUGGGAGACAAAUAAUACAUACUUACAAGACAUUUAUUGCAUAGUCAAACCAUGGAUCCAGAGAAACAAGUCAAUAAGUCAAAUCAAGAUGUGCAUGUGUGGCGAGUGAAUGGUGUAUGGUGAUAACAAUGGUGAAAGUCUAAUUCUACUUUUGCUCUUUUGAGGAGAUACAUACCUUUCUUGCACUUGAAGCUUUUUGAGGGGAAUGAGAUGCUCUAUAUUUUCUUUUUCUUUUCUCUCAGGUGGGUAUAUUGUAUCCCUAAUUCUACUGUCGGACACUUGUCCAUUUUUACCUCUCGUCUCACUAUUUCUUUUCUUCGAGGUUCCGGACACUUGCCCCUUUUUAUUUCCUUGUAUUAUUUUUUUUCAGUGCACUCACCCUCCUAGAAUAAUGUAGCAAGUGGUAGUAACCAAAAUAUCUCGAGCAUUUAUUUCACGGGGAAUAACAGGGAUAGGAUAAUGUUUUUUGGCUAUUCUCUCCCAGAUAUGAGUAGAAUCGUUUUAGGUGAAUCUGGAGAUGGGAAUGAGUGGAUGUAUGUGGAUGCGUACUUCCAGAGUAGAAGUAGCAUGUAUCAGUGAACGUGCAAGUGAAUCUUGAUUUUAACCGCAUGACAAGUUCCUAAGGGUCUACAUAACUUGACCAUACUAAAUGCUCAUAAGUAGUAAAUGUACCAUUCAUAGUCUAAUAAGCAUGUAUAUGUGGAUGUGGUAGGAUUUUAAACUCUCAUCAUACAGGAACUCAUCAUGCACAUUUUAAAGAUUUUAAAAGAUAAAAUUCUCUAGAAUUCUAGCAUCUCUAGGAACAGAUAAACAGCAGCUCAACCUCCCCAUAUCAUAACCGUUAACGACUUAGACUUUAGAUCAAGUACUCUUCCCACAAGUUCAGGUUUAGAGCAAAUCUUAAUUCAUAACAGUCAUGCCUAAACAUGAGUGAUAAUUCAAUUUUGAGAACUAGUCAUGGUAGAGCAACUAUUCAUUAUUUCCAUGUGAGAGCUUAUCAUG